CAAAAAGAAGUGGCAGCUCCUUGAGACGAUGACCCGUACUGUGGAAACCCCAUACAUCUUUCAGUUGCAUAAAAGGCAGCACCUGGUGUCUGAAAACCAACCAGAAUUGUACUGGAAGAUGAUGAUUUUGGGUGAUGCGAAACAGUUCCAUCAACCAUGGGAGUAGCCAUGUUCCAUGGCUGUUGAAAACCAACAUAUUCAAAAUUGCAGUCCCUACUGAACCCAAGGUUCUGUUCUACAUUUUCUUGGUAAUCAAGCUUCUGAGUGUUCAUUUACAAAUCAAAAGUAAUCAAAGAUGGCACCAGCGAGUGAGUGUAGUAUUGAAUGAAUUAUAAGAUGAAAAAGUCACGCAGAAUACGCGCAAAAAUCAAAGGAAAGGAGAUGCAGAUAAGAUGAAGGAGAACCAUGGCAGUGUGAUGAAGAAUUCAGAUUUAUGGUAGCAAAAUUCUGAUUUAUAUUCCUCAAUGACUUGAAGUUUAAGAUAUGAUGAAUACAACAAAAAAAAAAAUAUAUAUAUAUAUAUAUAUAUAUAUAUAAUAUUUAUUAUUAUACAUUUAAUGGAUUGGAAUGAACAUUCAUCUAUUGCCAAUUUGACACGACCGAAGCCAAUACAUUAAUAUAUUCCAGAUAAUAAUAAAUUAAAAUAAAGGUAUUGUCCUUGUUUGAGAAAACUGAUUCACAAUAUAAAAUUUACGUUUCCAACUUUUCAAUAAUCAAAAGUAGAAAUAAGACAAAAAAGCCAAGUCUAUAAAACAUCAAAACCAAAGGAUUUAUAGCCUUCAUAAUUCAAAAAAGAUACCAGCAUAAAUUCCAAUUAAAUAGCAUUAUUCUUUUGUUUUAUCAUUUUCCCAUUUCAAAUGGGGUAUCUGAAAUUACCAGAAAAAAGGGAAAGUUGAUGGAGUACUAUUAUACCAAUAUAUCUCAAAAGUGGGAGUCGAUUCUCAACUGUAAGAUUCGGAAACAUGUUGAAAACCCCAUCUCCAUUUAAGAUCAUCCAAUUACUUCGGAUGAUACCAACUUCAUUAAUUAACCUCUUUAUCAUUUUUUUUUAUUUCAUCUCUAAAGUUAAAACAAUGGAAUCUAGCCGAUGUUUUACGUAUAUAUACUUACAUUGAGAUAGAAUCUUUCUCUAAAUGUGUAUACAACCAACUUCAUGCCAAUGAAUGUUUGGCUAUAAUUGUUAAAUAGAAUUACCUGUCAGGUUGGAUUAAGGCUUCCUGUCCAUUCUCACUGCCUUUCAGUGUAGUGAGUUUCGGCAAAUUUAUAAUUUUGUUGCUUUUGGAUAAUAAAGGACUAGUUAGUAUCGGGUCGUUGAUCAAAUCGGUUCAAUUAAUAUAUUGGUUUUAAUUGAGUAAAUUAUUAAAAUUUUUUUAAAAAAAAUUGACUCAAUCAAUCUAGAUACGUGGUUGAAUCGAUCGAUUUCUGGUCCGAUUAGUGUUUGAAGUCCUUUUGACUGUACUUGAGUAGGGGUGUUUAAAUUUCGGUUAAAAAUUGAACUGAUCAAAUUCGAUUAACCGAUCUAAUUUGGUUGGAGAUCAGUUAAUAAUUUUUUAUAAGUUCGGUUAUUGGUUAAUUCUAUUCAAAAUCGGGUAAAUAACUGAAUUAACCAAACUUAAUAAUUAAUAAUACAAAUUAUAUGUAGUUUUAAAUCGAUCAAAUGAACAUUAUCAAUUUAUUUAUUUUUUAUAUGGUUUAUACUUAUUUUAACCAAAUAAGAGAUAAAAACAUAUAAAUUUUGAUUAAUUCGGUUAACAAACCUAAUUAAUUGAAAUAUUUCGGUUAAUUCAGUUAGUACUAGUUCAAUUCGGUUAACCGUUUAUUUGGGUUGAACUACUAGUGAAUAAAUUGCUCUCCCAUUAAAACAAUUAAUAAUUGUAAAAUUUAUAAAAAUAUAUUCAAUAAAUUAGUGAAUAAUAUUUCCACCCAAAUCAAUAAGUAAUUGAAAUGAUUUUAAUUUUAUAUAAUUAAUUAUUUUAUUACAUUAUAAUUCAAUAAAAAUAUAUUCUGUUACUAUAAUUAAUAUGAUCAAUUAAAAUAAAAUAACCUUAAAAAUAUCAAUUAAAAUAAGUAAUCUCAUAAAUAAUAAAAAAUACAAAAUAAUGUUUUUUUUAAUUUUUAUGUUAUUAAUUUAUAAAUAGGUAAACUGUACAAAUGGUCACCCAACUAUACUCACAUUCUUGUUUUGGCCACCCAGCUUUAAAAGUUUUCAAUUUAUGCACUAACGUUUGUAUUUAUUCCUAUUUUAGUCACCUACUGUUAAAUUGAUAACAAAAAUAAUGAGGUGAUCUUUUUCUAACUGGUAUAAUAACACAUUUAGUCCUCAAUACUUACAUAUUAUAUUAAUUUGAUCCUAAUUCUAAAUAAUUCAAUAAAUUUAACCCUUCACAUUUAAAAUUUUUAUCAAUUUGAUCCUCAAACUUCCUAACCAAAGCUUUCAACUUUUAAAAUAGACACAUUCCACGUCUAUAAAUUUGUAAAACCCCAAACAAAAAAUUAUUAUCUAUGGUUCUAUAUGUUUCCUAGGAUACUUGCACCAUUAGCUCGAAAUUAAGAUAUCUAGUUAAUUGUAUCUACUUACCAAAUGUUUAAAACGAUGUAAAAAGUCCCCUUUUUGCUUUGGUUUUUAUAUUUCAAUUGACUAUAGGUACAAUAUUUCCAAGGUUUUAAUUAGUAUUGCUCUUUUAUGUUAUAAAUCUCACUUCGGGGGUUUACUCCUGUCAAAGGAGUACUUUUGCUAGCAUCUCACAUUUAGUAAAAUGAUAGGUCCAUAAGUAUUUUAGUUUUAAAAAAUUAGUGUUUGUCACUCCUUGUCAAGGAUCAAUAAGUGAAUCUGCAAAGGAUAAUAUAGUCCUAUGACUCCACCUCCGAAUAAAGAACACCCUCACAACUUUGUCUAGCCAACAGGAAUGGGUUAUUCAUUAUCAAAUUCCCCAGAUCACUGUCCAAUGUAAUGUAACAACCCACUCGGUGAAGUCUCUGUACCUAAUUACUGUUUGGCAUAUAGUUGGUACAAUAAGGGCAGAUAAAAGUAAGUGUUUGUUUGUUUAGGAUAGGUAUAGAGUUGUGAGUGUUAUGCCAAUUGGAGAACUCUUAGUCUUGGCAAGAUCUGUGGUUUAGCGAACUCUUCUGUUAAAUAUACGCCACCCUAGAUACUUUGGCGAACUAGUCAAGUUCGCAACUGAUUAGAUUUGUUUAUUAUUUUAGUAAGGUAAUCAGUAGUUAAGUUGAAAUUUAGUUAGAAUGAAACUAAGCUACUGUAGAUGAAAAGACUUAAAUUAUGAUAAGUGUACUUAAUCACGAGAAUUAAGAGUGUUAGUGGAUUUUAUUUGAUUAUUUCACUAAACCUUGUAUCCAUGCUUAAAUAUAUAAUAAUAGCGGUGACUUCUCUGAAAAUCUUUGCAUCUUUUUUGUUUUCUUCUUUCUUCUUGAUUUUCUUUGAACUCUCUGAAAGCUAAAGUCCAGAAAACCUCUCUGAAAUUGGGUUCGCUGUAUUCAACUAACUUAUACGUUUGUACCAGCUCACUGGCAAUUAUUGAUGAACCUUAAGUUAUCUUUAAAGUUAUUUACGUGUUUUUAGUUCUACAUGCAUAAAUGUUUGAAUAGUGUGUAAGGAAGGAAUCUUCCUGAUUUUGGAUUAAGUGUUGAUGAUUCUUGCAUACAUGUUUAGAUUUGAUAGAUCAGUGAUAUGAUAUGUAUAAUUAUCCUCAUUUUUAGCUUAAGAAGCUACUGAAGGUCCGAGUGAUAAAGGCAAUAAACCUGUUUAUAAACUUUGCUAUAAUUUCUUGUGAGUUCUUUCUUAUUUCCAUGUGUUAUGGCCUUUUUUUUAUUUUAUAAUUGUAUAAGGUAAGUAUUCUUUCUUUGUAAAGGAUGAAAAGUGUAUGUGUGUGAAUAAUGGUUGUCCAAAAUCAUUAGUUUGAGUUCAAUAUGUCUGUGAUAUGAAGUACGGGUCAUUUUUCAUGUUUAACCCACUACCAAUUACUUCUGAUAUGUGGAGAUAGAGAUGAGGAGAUAUGUUUGUGUAGUCUCUAGUAAGGUAGGUAUAUUGCAAACCGGAUUGACAGAACACCAUCAAACAUGCUAUACUGAGUGAAAAUGAUAUAAGAAGUUAUGGUGAAGAAUGUAUAUGAAUGAGAUCGUAAGUUAUGUAUUUGACUCUAAAAUCUAGGUACGUGGCUGGCAUGAGAAAGAAUUGUCUGAGUUAUGUUGAGUUGACGUAUAGUAUUCGCCUAUGUGAUACACCAUUGGUGUGCUGAUUCUAUCUGAGUUCUGCAUACGCCUUUGGGAGUACUCUAUGUUAAUGUGUGAAUUCCUUUUUAAAGAUGCAAUUGUGCAGUUAACUUUCUUACUUAAGAUCUCUUUGGAACUUACUAAGUUCAUACGAACUUUCUCGGUUACUUUUUCCUUCCCAGGCUUAUUGACUGAAGGAAGCCUUAUCUGAAGGACUACGCCAAAGCGUUGUUGCUAUGUGAGAUAGAUGCUUUGUUUUUAUUGUGCAUGAAGCGUGGGGGUGACAUCUAAGUGUAUUUUUUAGAAGAACUCGUAUAAAGAACUUUUGUUUGUUAAAAUUUUGUUUUUAUAAAAUCUUAGUGAAAUUUCAUGCUGUGGAUAUUAAGUAUUAUAUGUUGUUUAAUAAUGUUACUAUACUAUACUAUACUAUACUAUACUAUACUAUACUAUACUAUACUAUACUUGAGUUUACACGCCAUUAGAUUUAAACAUUAUAUUUAAUCCAAUAAUGGUUUAAUUCAAACAUUGAAGUUUUACAAAGCUUUUGCCAGAACUGGUUUCAAAUUUAAGAUGAUUUCUAAGUAAUGACACGUCAUACUCGGAUUCUUUUAACGGAUCGGGUUUGGCAUGUUAUAUGCAAUCUCGCCAAUCUUACGACUCAACUGUUCUUGCAUCAACACCAAAACUCUCCAGCAUUAAUGGAGCCAAGACUAAUAACAAUCUCAGAAAAUAGCUCGUUAGUAAAUUUAUAUAUGUGGAAUGUUUCUAUUUUAAAAAUGAAAAGCUUUGAUUAGGAAAUUUGAGGAUCAAAUUGAUAAAAUUUAUAAAUGUGAAGGGUUAAAUUUAUUGAAUUAUUUGGAAUUAGAAUCAAAUUGAUAGAAUAUGUAAGUAUUGAGGACUAAAUGUAUUAUUAUACCAAUUAGAAAAAAGCCAUCUCAUUAUUUCCGUUAUCAAUUUAACGACAGGUGAUCAAAACAUAAGCAGAUAUAAACUUUAGUGCCUAAAUUGAAAAAUUUUAAAGUUAGAUGACCAUUUGUAUAGUUUACCCUUUAUAAUUUAAUAUAAAUAUAAUAUUAUUUAUCUAUUAUAUAUAAAUCUUUCAUUUCUAUUCCAACUUCACCAUUGCAGCUACGCUUGAAUCCAAACACACAUCUCACCACUAAUUUUAGUCUCAUAGCUACCAUAUUAAUCUUACCAUUACAACAAUUAAUCUCACCACCAAUACUAUUUUAAAAUUUAUUGAAACUUGAAUUUAUCCUUUUUAAAAUCCCUUUGUUAGAGAUUGUGUGACUCAAAUUCCGCACUUGUUGAAGAAAUAAAUACAGUGGCAAAAUAAGAGAAUUUGUAGGGCGAAAGGUCGAGGGCCUUACAACACAAGUUAAAUACAUAUAGAACUGUUCUUCUUCUAUUUGACUUUGAUUAGAACAGGGCUUUUUAACCCUUAAAUAGAUGUAGUCGAAACUACUAUUGUAUCAUUCAUUUUUCAACAUUAGUGAAUUUCUCCUCUUCUGCAUGUGAUUUUUUUCCUGAAAAAAUUUUCAUGCAAAAUCUAUGUGUUCUUUUUUAUUAUUAUUAUUUUACAAUCGUUCUACCGCCAUUAUCAAUGUUUAUUAUAACACCCUUAUCAAAAAUCUUGUCCAGAUGAAUAAGUUCGACAUUGGAGAUAUUUUGGGCAUCAUAUAAUCAUGUCAUAUAGCUUAAAGAUUGAUUAUAUACCAAAAAAAUACAAAAUAAAAAAGAUAUUUUUUAAGUUAUACAAUUUAGUCGUUACACAUAAUGCCAUCUCAUAAUUGAUGUUGAAAUUUUGUUGGAUUUCACAUAUUUAAUUAGGGUUUGAAUUUUGGAAUAGUAAGUGACAAAAAUAACACAACUAAUUCCUAAUCAAAGUUGUGAUAAAUUCACAAAUCACAUAUGAAUAAAGAGGGUUUUUUACAAUAAUAUUAUAAAAAAUAAAAAUUUAUCAAAAUAUUAUAACUUUUUUUAUUUACCAAAAAAUAUUUUUUUAUUUACCAAAAUAUAUCAAAAAAAACUUAAAAAAAACCUGCAAAAAAAAUCAGAUCGAUGUGACUUUUUACUGGUCACGCCAAUGGGAUUGGCGGCACCAAAGGUGCCUAAACCAUUGGCGGCACCAAUGGUGCCAAUACCAUUGGCGGCACCAGUGUAUAUUAGGGGGGGUUCGGUGGUGGGGGGACCAGAAGGAGAGGGAAAGAAAGAAAGAAAGAAAGAAAGAAAGAAAGAAAGGAGAGGAAAGAAAGAAAAAGAAGGAAAGAAAAGGAAAGGAGAAGAGAAAAAAAGAAAGAAAGAAGAAGAAAAGGAAAGGAGAAGAAAAAAGAAAGAAAGAAGGAAAGAAAAUGAAAUGAGAAGAGAAAAAAAAAGAAGAAGAAGAGAAAAGGAAGGAAAAAAAGGUAUUUUUUGAUAAAUUUAAAUUUUUUUCUAAUAUUUGUGUGUUUAAAAUUUAUGUUACGUACAUUAUAGUUAUUUUAUUAUUUUGUUUAGCAUAUAUAUUUUUAUGAAAUAUAUUUAGAAUGAAAAAAUAAUGGUAUGUACAUUGUAUGUUGAAUAGGGAUUUUUUUUUUAUGAAAUUUACUUAGGAAUUUGAAAUUUAAAUUUUAGGAAAAUAGCUUUAAAAGUAAAAUGACAAAGAAGUAUGUUUAAGAAAACAUAAAAUAUGAUAGUAAGAAAAAAAUGGGAAUUGUAUAUUUAUUGAAAAUAAUAAAAUGCGAAUAAAAAUGCGAAAAAUGUACAUGUAAUAAAUUUCAAACAUAAUAAAUUGAAAUAAUGUAAAAUUAUAAAAUAAAAAAUUACGAUAUUUUUAAAAAUAAUAAAAUGAGGAUAAAAAAUACGAACAAAUGGCCGAAUUAAGAGUGUAUUAGUAAAUUUUUUUAAAAAUUUAGAAAUAAGUUAUACAAAUAAUUGAAACAAAAUGUACUGAAAUAAUAUAAAAUAAUAAAAUACGAAAAUAAUAAAUUUUUCUUGAAAGUAAUAAAAAUCGGGAAAAUAAUAAUACGACCAAAUGUCAGGGGAAAGGGUUUAUUUCGGGGUUUUUACCAAAAUAUUACAAAAAAUAAAAAAAUACGAAAAUAUUAUAAAUUUUUUUUAUUUACCAGAAUAAUGGGUUUUUACAAAUAUAUUAAAAAAAUUAAAAAUAACCAAAAUGUUAUAAGUUUUUUUUAUUUACCAAAAAAUAUAUUUUUUUUAUUUAUCAAAAUAUAUAAAAAAAACCUGCAAAAGAAAGGGUGAUGGUUAUUUUUUUACAGAAAAUUAAUACGAGCAAAGGGCAGGGGUAAGGGUUAUUUUUUACAGAAAAUUAAUUUAAAUAACACACUAGAUUAAUAAAUUUCAAACAUUAUGCACUGGAAUAAUGUAAAAUUAUAAAAUUUUAAAUUAUGAUAUUUUUUAAAGGAAUAAAAUGCGAAGAAAAAAAUACGAAUAAAUGGCCGAAGUAAGAUUUUUUUACUAACUUUUUUUUCAACUUGCAGGCAUCGCAAUGGCUGGAUUGAUUCGAAGCAAUAUUAGACACAUAUCUGAUGCGGCUAAUAACGCGGUAUGAUUUAUUAUUUGUUAAUCAGGAGUUCUAUUUAUUUAAAAAGGAUAUACGCAGUAUAUACAAAGAAAUUAUGUUAUCGUAAUAUUUUUUCUAUAAUUUAACAUUAUCAGGACUCGUUUCGAGUAUUAAGGGGUCGUGUGAGUGUUUUAAAGAUGGCUCCGGAUGAUCGAUUGCUGCCGUAUCUGGAGGUAGCCGGAUUUGGGUCAGUAGCAUUGAUCCGGUCGUCCGACUUGCGCUUUGAUUUAUUAUCUGCGCUAGUGGAGCAGUGGCGUCCGGAGACCCAUACUUUCCAUUUUUCGUGCCGGGAGUGCACGGUGACCUUGGAGGAUGUUGCAGUGCAACUGAGGCUCCCAAUUGACGGGAGUCCCGUAACGGGAGUAUCGUCAUUCACUAAUCCGGCUGCAGUUUGCUAUCAACUCCUAGGAGAGUCGCCAAAGGACGGCGACAAAUAUUUUUCCGGCAUCAAAUUUACAUGGCUAAAAGCCAAAAUUAGACAAUUAUCAGCGACCGCCACUGAAGGUAAGUUGAUGUACGUUGCUCGAGCGUACAUCAUGCAUAUGAUAGGGGCAGUACUCAUGCCUGAUGCAAACGGCGACUGUGUGCAUUUGUCGUACCUCCCCCUGCUAGCUGAAUUCUCCACUGCCACUGCAUUUGUCGUACCAUUCUAGCAACGCUCUACCGGGAGCUUUGUCGGGCGACAGAGCCACAGGUUAAAGACAUCGGCGGAUGCCUCAUACUGCUGCAGUCGUGGGCGCUUUAUCAAAUGCCGUUUUUGGCAUGCGUUAGUCACCAACCCUAUCUGUAUCCACUGCCACUCAGGUGAUAAGACGCUAAAUUGUCAUUAUUUGUAGUAAUAAUAUAUUGAGUAAUGUUACCAACCCUAAACCCUAUACUAUUUUUUGUAGGUGGACGACCCGUCCUGGCAUCGGAAAGUCGUCUGAUGUCCUGAUAUACCGCCUGAGGAUUGAACAGCAUGCCUGGGAAGGGGUAAGCUGCUAUUCUAAUAUUCAUGAUAUCUAUUCUAUUUCUAUAUCUUAAUCACAUGUUAUCGGUCUAACUUGUUACAAUGUUAUUACUUAUGCAGUUUAUAUGGAUGCCAUACCGGAGGUUAGAAAUUACAAAUGUCGUACCCUAGUUCGCACUUGUUGAUUCCCACAUAUGGUGUACUAACACACCAAUUAUAAAUUUCAACGUCGUCGAGUAGUAUCACGGCGAUCGGGUGCUUCGGCAGUUUGGCUGCAUUCAACCUAUCCCGGAUCCGCCGGCCCAGUUGGGGGAUGAUCACGACUUGACAAAGAGAGGAAGAGUUCAAUUGGACUAGGGAAUUAAGCACCGGAAAUACGUCGCACUGUGGAACAAUCGAUUGCGCCGAAUUCCUCAGAUGGUUAUGGCUACCGACCUGCAACCAUCAUUGGAGUAUACAUAAUGGUACCAUAGCUGCGGGAAGCCAUAUUUACUUGGAGGGCAAUCGACUGUAAUCCCCCCUACGUGCAGCAAGUUGGGGGAUCGGACGCAGCGAGCGAGCUGGAUCCGGAUCUGAUGGCAUAUUAUUCUCCGCAACAGGCAAAGCCCGAGCAGGACCCCCAGCCAGAUCCCGGACAAGCACAGUCAAAUAUGGAUUCACAUGGCUAUCGUCCGAAUUUGGUGGGCGGUGAAUAUUAUCCGAGCUUCGCAGAGGGCGAAUACGCCUACGAGUUUGAACUGUUUGGAUCCCCUCAGCCGCAGUACGGCAUGCCCAGCCCAUCCAACACGUAUCCACAGCAUUAUGGGAGUCAUGAUGGUUCAAGUUCGUCGGCGGCGAACUAGCAACACGACCUUUCCUCUAUGUUUUCCACGCCCCCACCUGCGGACGAUGAGGAUGUUAGUCGUCGCCCAGGCCGUGAGCGUCGACCUCCGCGUAGGUAUACCCCCCGGACAACACCAUCGAACCAUCAAUUUUAGGGGUUUAGGGUAUUUUUUGUAUAAAUUUAAUAUUUGUAUUUUAAUUAUUGGUUACUUCUGAAUUUUUUGUAUAAAUAUCCAUUAUCCUAUUUUUUCAUUAUAUUAAAGCUCAAUCGAAUUAUGAAUGCCUCUAUUUUCGCUAUAAUCUUAAUAAUUCCAAAUACGCACAUGGUAUUUUAUAACUUAAUCUGCAAACAAUUUGGAUACAAUUUAAGCGUAAGCAUUAGCCGAAUAAAAAAAUUUAUUAUUAAUAAAAUUACCUUUUAUAACAAUAUACAUAAAAAUUUUACAGCAUUAGCUCAAUUUCGACUCGAUCCCGACGACUGCCCAACAUGAAAGUUUCGGUUAGGGCAUUUGUUCCUAUUAUGACCACUUAACCUGCAUAUUCCACAACGCUUUUCGUCAGAUUUCUCCCUAAUGUCCAUCUCAUUACGGAUUCUGCUUGACUGCGGACGACCCCUUGGAUUCCUCCGUAGCCCUCUAUCUGGGACAAGCUCGAAAGUGAUCGGCGGCACCUCCCACGUAGAUAGGUUCGGCAGGACGGGGAACUCAUUCUCCCAGACACGCAAUGUGUGCUCUAGCGUGUACACAUCAUCGACAUAUUGUUCAACAUCAAGGUUGACUUUAGCAUACGCUGCCACGACAUGCGCAUAGGGAUAAUGAAGUGUUUCGAACCUCUUACAUUCGCACCGUCUGUUUUGGAGAUCAACUCCGUAUGACCUAGUUGGUAUACCAGGUCGACGACUGAUCGAAACGUUUCCAGUCGUCGUGAAUAUAUUUCCACGCUUAUUGACCUCGCAAACCGACGGUUUACGACCAUUGUAUCCCGGAUAUGUUCGACAAACACAUGUCCCGCCUGAAUCUGGUCGACUUACUGCUGACCCAUUCUUGGCAUCAAAGUAGCCAGCCUGUAGAAAGUAGCAGAAAAUACCGAUGCAAUCGGAAGAUGACGUGUUUUCAACAAGACAGCGUUGAUCCCCUCCACUAAGUUUGUGGUCAUGUGGCCAUAGCGAAAGCCCUCGUCAAAACUUUGAGCCCACUGCCACGGCUCCAUUGUGCGCAACCAUUCUCAGAAAGAUGUGUUUGUCUGCCCCUCCAUGUCACUCUCAAGUCAGAUUAUUCUUUGCCGGAAAAUAUGUGGCUCUAACUCGUACGCUGCAUACGAAAAAUAAGUUCUAGUAAGUCGAUAACAUCAAACAUUACAACUUAUAUUGAAAAGAUAAGGUUAUCAUUUACCCAUUGCCACGACUUGUUUCUUCCAAUCUGCAUUCUUAUAAUCUUUAUGGAAGUUAGACACAAUGUGACAAAUGCAGUAAACGGAUCUCCACGGCACACCGGAACGCCUAAUAGCUGUAAUUAAACCCUUCCCUCUAUCGGAGAUGAUGCAAAUGUUAUCGUUCCUAAUAACAUACCUCCGCAGGUUUGUGAGGAAGAAUUCCCAAGACUCUAUGUUCUCUUUAUCUACGAUAGCAAAUGCUAUCGGGAGCACGUUUCUGUUACCGUCUUGAGCAACUGCAAGAAGUAGUAUCUGUGUAUAUUUUCCAUAUAGCCAGGUCCCAUCCACCUGUACAAGUGGCUUGCAGUGGGGAAAUGCCCGCACACAUGGAUCGAACGUCCAGAACAUCCGAUGAAAAAUCCUUUUUGCUGGCUGUAACUGGUCAUCCGGGCCGUAAUAUGGACUUGUCUGCAACUCAAUCACAGUCCCCGGUACGUACUCCCGCAUAGCAGCUAUCUAACCUUGAAGCUCGUUAUACGACGAAUCGUAAUCUCCAUACAGUUGCUCCAUCGCCAUCUGUUUAGCUAUCCAUGCUUUCCGAUAUGAGACUCGAUACUAGAAUCGUGCUUGCAUUUUUGCAAUGAGUACAUAAACUUUAAUGGUUCGCAUGUCCUUCACCAUUGGCAUGAUACACGUACAAAUAGUUUUUGAAUCAAGUUUUCCAUGAUCUUCUGUCAUACGUGUUGAUGUGCAUGUAUGAGGACCAACAAAUUUUCGUAUAUCCCACAUCUGAGAACUUCUAAUGAAUGCAGCUCGUACCCGCCAAUUGCAGCCUUCCGCUGCCUUCCAACACUCCCCAACAUAUAUUGUCGGAGUAGACACGGAGACUUUAUAAUCCACCGAUAUCUUCAUGCUUUAAUGGCAUAUACGCAUUCUUCUUUACAGCUGAAUCUCUGGCAUAUGAAUAACUCAUCAUCAUCAGAUGUUACGGCCAGCCUGUGAGAAUGAACUAUUUCAGGGUACUCCGGAAACUCAGAUACAGACGCUGCGUCGGGGUUUAUGAGCGACAUGUGUGGCCCAGGAUUAUUGUGUAUCACAAUACGCCGCAUCUGCUCCCCGACCGAAGAAGCGUUAAUGCCUUCAUCGUUGUUGACAUCUUCAGCGUCAAUAUCAUCAGGUACAUCGUCCACAUCGGGAUCAGCGUCACUAUCGACCUCUUCAUCCCAAUGAUCGCCACCACCUUCUUCUUCGCCGGUACCUUCUUCUUCACCACCAACCAUGUCAACAUCGGGUUUAAUAUUCAGGUCGAUACCGAACCCACCCAUAGUUGAUUCACUAUCGACGUAUGAUAUUGGAGCCACCAUCCGCGGUUCUUCAGCCCUGUCUUCUCCAUCAGAUGCAUUUUGCUCCAUACCGACUAACUCAGCAAAUAAGUGAAUCGGUGCAUUCUUCUCACUCUCAUUCCCACAGUAGAGAUUGACCAUUGUCUCCAAGUCUUCGUCGUCUACAAGUUCCAUUUCGACGAAUUUGACUGGAUUUGUCGAAACUGAAAACUUGUAGAAAAUUUUUGAUAUCCUUCUCCCACAAUGUCUAUGGAUUUUUGCAUUAAUCCUUGCCUUCAUUUCAUCGAACGAUACAUUUCUAUUAAAUCUCAUUGCUAUUUGUUGCCGACAUUCAAAUACACAUCCAACACUUGUUGUCAAUAUGACUCCAUCGAAAUAAACGCAUAUAAGAAACUUAGCAUCCAUCGUCAAUAUUUAAUCUGUAAAAAAAAAACAAAAUCUCAUAAAAAUUCUCGAACGGUAACUAAAUUACUUAAAAAAAUUAUACUCUAAAUAAUACACAAAAUAAUACACACUAAAAUUAUUAAUUUUAUACUCAAAAUAAUAUUAAUAAUUUUGUACUCAAAAUAAUACACACUAAAAUUAUUAAUUUUACUAAAAAUAAUAACUAACUAACUAACUAUAAGAAUACUAGUUUUUUACUGACUAGUUUAUUUUCGUAAAUAAAAAUAAUAAGUAACCAUAAUAAUAAUACUAGUUUUUUGCUAACAAUAAUAUUACUAAGUUACAUCUUAAUACAUUAACAACAACAACAACAACAACAACAACAACAACAACAACAACAAUAAUAAUAAUAAUAAUAAUAAUAAUAAUAAUAAUAAUAAUAAUAACAAUAAUACAUUUUGAGUUUUAUUAAUCUUAAUAACUAAACUAAAACAAAAAAAAAAUAUUACAAAAUAUACAAAAUAAUAACAACAAUAUAAUCAAUUAUUUUUUUAAAAAUACCUUCUUUUUCUCCUUUUUUUCUCUCUUUUUCUCUUCUUUUCCGCAGCAACUCUUCUUCUUCUUCUUUUCUUUUGAUUUUUCUCUCUUCAGCUGGACAGAGGUCGUAUUUAUAAUACGAGUAGUGCCGCCAAUUAGUAUGACACCAUUGGUGCCGCCAAUGGCAUUGGCACCAUUGGUGCCGCCAAUCCCAUUGGCGUGACCAGUAAAAAGUCACAUCGAUUUGAUUUUUUAAGUUUUUUUUGAUAUAUUUUGGUAAAUAAAAAAUAUUUUGGUAAAUAAAAAAAAUUAUAAUAUUUUGGUAAAUUUUUAUUUUUUUAUAAUAUUAUUGUAAAAAAACCCGAAUAAAGAAGAAAGAAACAAAAAGUGGAAACAAGAAAAAGGUAAGGUGACAUUUUCAAUAGAGUGCAUCCAAAGCAGCAAUGCACUAUAAACGAUGAUAAAUUUUUAAUUAAUUAAUUUCUGCAUGGGAAGCUUCGGAAAACUCAUUUGGCUUUUUUUCUGGUUUAGGAUACGGAAUUAUUAAUAAAUCUUAAUUAUACAAAAAGGUGCACAGGUUUAAGAUCUGACGGCAAAUAAAUCUAGAUUCUUUAGUUUAUUUUUAGGGUGGUUUUCAUCACAUGAUAUAAGAUGCAUUCCAUAAUUAAAUAAUUUUAUAUAUUAAUUGAUUGAGUUUUAGUUCGAUUGAUAUGAGCAUUGUUAUUAAUAUAGGAAGAUAUAGAUUCGAGUGCAUUGAAGCACAUUAUUCUCUUUAUUAAUCGGUUAAGAAGAGGCUAUGGAUAAUUUUAGUAUGGUGAUUCCUGCCUCCAUAAUACAUACUUUUAUUUUACAUUUUUACCCUCAUACAAUUUUACAAAUCCCUUCCCUUGAAGACAUUGAAGCACAUCACACCAGGGGCGAAAUCAGAAUUUUUUUUAGGAGAAUCGAAAUUAAAUUGUAAUUUUUACGAUAGUAAAAAUACAAUUUCACCAUUUUAAUAUUCUAUAUCUUUAUAUUAUAAUUUUUAAAAGAUUAAUUUAUCAUUUUCAGAAGAGUUAAAGUACAUUUUUACUUUUACUUAAAUAAAAAAAUUUCUAUCGUAGGUAUAUAGUUAUGCCCCUGUAUCACAUAUAAAACAUCCAAAAUAUAAAUACUUAUAAAAAAAAUGUGCUCUCCGCAACAGUAGAUAAUAAAGAAAACAAGAGUAAAAGUACUAAAUUGUAAAAAGAAAAAACUUAAAUAUCAAAUUUAAAAAAAUAAAUGUGAAGUUCAAAUACAACUUUGUAAUAAAUUGUCUCAACAAUUUGUUAUAUUGUUUUAUUAUGAAUGGUCAUGCCUCAAAUACAUUCCGACUGUAACGAGGGAUGGCCAUCUAUCCUAUUCCUAUUUGUGUUAUGUGGGGAGUAGAUUUUACAAGUCAACCUAAAAUUUUAGACCCGUUUUUUAAGUUCAGGUUCGACUCGAAAAAUAGGUUUAAAAUUUUAUUCAAAUUUGACUCAUAAUAAAAAUGUUAAACUCGAGUUCGACCUAGUCCACCCGUAUUAAUUUUUUAAAUAAAAAUAAAUUUAAAAACAUAUAUAAUACAUCAAAUACACUAAAAACAUUAGAAUAAAUGUCUCCUAACAAAUUGAAAAUACAUUAAAAAGUCUUUAUACUUAAAUAUAGUAAGAUAGUUGCAGCGUAGCAAGCAAAUGCUUCAAAAAUAGUAUCAAAAUUAAAAAAAAAUAAAAGGUAUAUAACAUUCAAACAAUAAUAACAAAAUAGUAUUAAUAUAAUAAUAAAAUGAUAGUAAAAUAGCAGCAAACCAACAACAAAACAACUUCUUCGAGCUCGGGCUAAAAAAUCCUACUCGAGCACUAAUCUAUUUAGAAAAUGGGCCUUAGUUUUGUUCAACUCUAUUUUUCAUAUCUAUAUUUUUAUUCAAAUCCUCCUAAUUUUUGGGUAGACUUUUAAAUCUAGACGAAUACCCCGACACAUGAUUAAGUAUAGCAGGGAGGGUUAUUGACUUGCUUAACAAAGGAGCAAGCGAAUGGUCGGAGAGGUAUUGGGUGUCUAAGCUAGCAAACAAGUCCAUGUCUUAACUGAGUUAGGAUGACUGUCCAUGUCUUAAUCUAUUUGGAUUGAAGAGUACCUUCAUUCAAUUCAUCAACUUGUACUGGAUGAUGUUAUUCAUAUUGACAAUGAAGAUCAUUAUCUUUCAAAAAAUUAUCUAGGAAGUUCCUCCCUUACUCUCUGAACUCACGCCAUCUCAUCAAGAUUAUUUUAGGUGUCCUCAUCAUCUUGAAUCAUUUUUUGGGAUGUUCCGCUUUUACUCAUCGGCUUCUCUCUGCUCUUGAGCACCAUUGCUUUUAGUGUUGUGGUCCGAAAUCAUUUUCGGCAUUAAUAGUUUUAAACCUAAGUCAUAAUAAUGUUGGAAAAUAUGGACAUCACAUAUAUAAUAAUUAUAAUUAUAUAUUAUUUAUUAUUAUGAAAUAUUAGUCUAAAAAAGCGAUCUAAUUUGAUUAAAAUUUAUUUGACUUCAGUUAAUAAAUAAAGUAUGGGUCAAAUAUGUAUAAAUACUCUUAUAACUAAUUUCUAAUUGAUGAUAGGCUGAUUAGAAAUUAAGGUUAAUGUGAAAAAAUUAUAUAUUAGGGUUAUGGUCCUCAAAUUACAUAUACGUAAUUUUUUUAACAUCUCAUCUUUAGAAAAGAGAAAGUCACAUUCUCUAAAUUACUUGUAUGUUAAUUUGGAAUAUCAAAAUCGCAAGACUCGAAGAUUUCAAGACACCUAUGGAUUUAGGUACGUUUUUAUAUCUAAUUUUGUUUUUGAUGAUUUAACAUGACAUAUCCUACUUUAUUAAGUUUUAUAUCCAAUUUUUUUACUCUAACAAAUAAAUCAUGACAGUAACAAAAAUUAUUGAUGAUUAAAUUGUGAAAAUUUUAAAUUUAAAUGUCUAAAAUAAAAAUUUUAAAAGAAAAGUAACUAAAUUUAUUAGUCUAAUAAAAAGAUUAGCAUUAGACCAAAAAAAAAAACAUUGUAAUGAUAAAACCAAAAGAGGUUUCUUUAUUUUAGCUUAUUUUAUUUUAUUUUUAAAUGCACAAAAAUUGCCCUUUAAAGCUUUGGAAGGACGCUGUACCGAUUUAGCGACCCUCUCCCCAUUGGCUCCAUUUCCAUUUUCCUUCAGUCAAUUUCCUUAAUUCACAUCUGGUUACGGAUACGACCCUUCCACCCCUUUCAAAAAUUUUGGCCAAAGAUUCUCUGUCCAAAUUGUUCACUCAUUCGUGUGUCUACAACAUUUUCAUAUAUUUAUUUAUUUUUAAUAUUAACUUUUCAAAAUACUAAAGAAAUCGAAUUCAACUUUUAUUUAAUUGUUAUUAUUGUUAUUAUAGCAAUUUUGAUUUAAGUGCACUUAUACAUAUUAUUUUUACGCUUUAAGAAUUAAAGAAGGGUUAUAGAUAAACAUAGAGAUUAUAUAAAUUCUUUUUUAAAGAAAACAUGCAUAAUUGAAAUAAGAUGAAAUUUAAAUAUACAAUCUUAUUUUUUUUAAAAUAAUCUUGGCAUUAAAUGAAAACCUCAUUGGCAUGAUGAUUUUUUGUUUUUUUUUUGUUUUUUUAUAAAAUAGAAUAUAUUAGAAUUAAAUGGUCUGAAUCCUUAUUUAAAUAAAAUACAUUGGUAAAAUAAAAUAAAAGUAAAACCAUAUAGAAUUACACUUCUUUUAUUUUUAGGAUAAAGUUUUUUAAACCUUAUUAAGCUCCAUCUAUUUGAUAUUGAUUAAAAUAAGGUGUUUCAGUCUUAUUACACUCCUAUUAGAAUAUGGUUUUACAAGCCUAUAAAUGGACAUAGUCUAGUCCUCUUGUAAUUAUUCGAAUUCGAUAUAGUGAAUUAUUUUCUCCUCUGCCCGUGGUUUUUUUCCCGAAAGGGUUUCCACGUAAAAUCUGUGUGUUCUUUAUUUUUCUCUCUCUUUUUCUUUGCGAUACAUUGUCAUUACCAACGUUCUAUUUUUCUACAAAUUGGUAUCCGAGCUUCUGGGUUGUUCAUCUCAAUCACGGUAAUGGCAUAUUUGAAGUAUGAAAUUUCGUUGUUGGAUCGCAACACCAGAUUCGCAUUGUGGCAAAUAAAGAUGCAGGCAGUUCUUACACAGAUGAACUUAGAAUAAGCCCUGCUAGGGGUAGAUAAGAUGUCUUCAACAUUGACGGAGGAAGAGAAUAAGCGCAAGGAUCGAAAGGCGUUAUCACAGUUACAUAUGCAUUUUUCUAACGAAAUUUUACAGGAUGUGGUGAAGGAGAAAAUCGCAGCUGGAUUAUGGAAGAAGUUGGAACAAAUAUGUAUGUCGAAAACUCUAACUAGCAAGCUACAUAUAAAGCAGCGUCUUUAUGCUCAUUAUUUGGAGGAAUGUGCGUCUGUGCACGAACACUUAACAGUGUUUAAAGAAAUUAUCUCAAACUUGGAGGCCAUGGAGGUUCAGCAUGAUAAGGAAGAUUUAGGGUUUAUUCUACUUUGUUUAUUGCCCCUGUCUUAUUCAACCUUUAGAGAUACGAUUUUAUAUAGCCGCGAGUCUGUCACAGUUGAUGAGGUUUAUGCUUCUUUAACCUCGUAUGAUAAGGUGAAGCAUCUUGUGGUUAAAAAUGACUCUCAGGGAGAGAGUCUCAUUGUUCGUGGAAGACAAGAUUUGAAUGCCGAUGAUGAUCGUGGAAAGACACAGGAACGAAAUCCUCACAGUAAAUCUAAGAGUAGAUCGAAGUCUUCAAACAGAGGUAAAACUUGUAACUUCUACAAGAAGAAAGAGCAUAUUAAAUCUGAGUGUUAUAAGCUACAGAACAAGAUCAAAAGGGAGGCUGCGAAUCAAAAUGAAAAACAACAAAAAAAUUUCUGCAAAGCUAAUGUUGUAGAAGACUACAGCGAUGGUGAACUUCUAAUCGCUUUUGUCAACAAUUCUAAAGUGAGCGGGGAGUGAAUCAAUGAUUUGGGUUGCACCUUCCACAUGAGUCCCAAUUGGGAUUGGUUUACAACUUACGAAAUAGUGUCUGAAGGUGUUGUUUUGAUGGGAAAUAAUGUUUCAUGUAGAAUUACAGGUGUUGGAACAAUUAAAGUUAAGAUAUUUGAUGGAGUUGUCAGAAUACUUAGUGACGUAUGACAUGUUCCAGAAUUAAAGAGAAAUUUAAUUUCAUUGAGUACUCUUAAUUCAAAAGGGGUACAAAUACACAGCUGAAAGUGGGGUUUUGAAGAUUUUCAAAGGUUCCCUCAUUAUGAUGAAAGGGCAGAGAAAGACUGCUAAGUUAUAUAUUCUUCAGGGUUUUACUGUUACUGGUGAUGCAGAUGUCGCUUCCUUUUCCUCGUCAAAUGAUGAUAUUACUAAACUUUGGCAUAUGCGCCUAGGGCAUAUGUGUGAGAAUGCCAUGGCAGAAUUGAGCAAAAGAGGACUUCUUGAUGGACAAAGAAUUUUCAAACUGAAGUUCUGUGAGCACUGCGUUUUUGGGAAGCAAAAGGGAGUUCGAUUCAUCAGAGGAAUCCAUAACCUGAAGGGAACGUUGGAGUAUAUUCAUUCUGAUCUAUGGGGGCCAUCCAGAGUGUCUUCGAGAGGUGGAGCUAAUUAUAUGCUAACUUUUAUUGAUGAUUUUUCUAGAAAAGUUUGGGCGUUCUUCCUGAAGCAGAAAAGAGAUGUGUUUUUCGCAUUUAAGUCUUGGAAAACUAUGAUUAAAAAACAGACGGGAAAAUAAAUAAAAUACUUUCGCACAGACAAUGACUUAGAGUUCUGUUCUGAUGAGUUUAAUAAACUGUGCAAGUCAGAAGGGAUCGUGAGACACUUGACAGUUCAUCAUACUCCACAGCAAAAUGGUGUUGCAGAACGAAUGAACAGAACGAUCAUGGAGAAGGUUCGAUAUAUGUUGUCAAAUGCCAACUUACCAAAGUCGUUUUGGGCUGAAGCAGACUCUAUUGCAUGUUUUUUGAUCAAUCGAUCUCCAUCCGUUGCUAUUGAGAAAAAGAUUCCACAAAAGGUAUGGUCUGGUAAUCCUACUGACUAUUCUGAUUUAAAGAUCUUUGGAUGUCUUGCGUACGCUUAUGUUGAUAAUGGAAAAUUGGAGCCGAGAUCCAUUAAAUGUUUUUUUCUUAGUUAUAAAGCUGAUGUAAAAUGGUAUAAGUUAUGGUGUCCUGAAAAUAGAAAAGUUGUGAUUAACAAACAUGUUGUUUUUUUAUGAAACUACUAUGCUACCUAACUUAUCUCUUAAAGACUCUUCCAAUAAAGAAAAUCAAAAGCAAGUAGAGCAUCUGAUUAAUCCAGAAUCUACAAUAGGGUCGACUCCUCAAGCCAGUACAAAAAUUCAAAAUAGAGUUGCUUCUUUACCACAAUACUCUAUAGCCAAAUAUAGAACUAAGAGAGAAAUUAAACCUCCAAAGAAGUAUGUCGAGGCUGAUCUAGUUGCUUAUGCUUUAAAUGUGGUUGAAGAUAUAGAUGCAAACUAAGAGCCAUUUAAUUAUUGUGAUGCGGUUAGCUGGGAAGACUUAGAAAAGUGGAUGUUUGCUAUGCAAGAGGAGAUGAGAUCACUCUACAAAAACAAAACAUGGGAUCUUGUGAAACUUCCUAAAGGUAAAAAAGUUGUUCGUUGUAAAUGGGUGUUUCAAAAGAAAGAAAGGACUCCAGGAGUUGAAGAACCCAAAUAUAAAGCAAGGCUUAUUGCAAAGGGUUACAGUCAAAUUCCAAGAGUGGACUUCACAGAUGUGUUCUCCCUAAUUAUGAAGCAUAGUUCGAUUUGAGUUUUGCUUUGUAUUGUGGCCAUGCAUGAUUUAGAGCUUGAGUAGUUAGAUGUAAAAAUUAUAUUUUUGCAUGGAAAACUUGAGGAGGAUUUUUAUAUGCAACAACCAGAGGGUUUUACAGUCUCAGAAAAAGAGGACUAUGUUUGCUUGUUGAAAAAGUCCCUUUACGGUUUGAAACAAUCACCAAGACAGUGGUACAAGAGGUUUGAUUCCUUUAUGACUUCUCAUGAUUUCAAAAGAAGUAGCUUUGACAGUUGUGUUUACUUUAAGAAAAAUAGCGAUAGUUCUUUUGUGUAUAUACUCUUUUAUGUUAAUGACGUGUUGAUAGCAGCGAAAGAUAAAAAAGAGAUAAGAAAGGUCAAACCCCAACUAAGUGAAGAAUUUGAGAUGAAAGAUUUGGGACCAGCAAAGAAGAUACUUGGUAUAGAGAUUAUCAGAGAUAGAAAAGGAAGUAAAUUGUACCUAAGUCAGAAUGGGUACAUUGAGAAAGUUCUUUGCAAGUUCAAUAUGCAGAGUGCUAAACCUAUUAGUACUCCUUUAGCAGCUCAUUUUAGACUUUUAUCGGCUUUAUCUCUACAAUUAGAUGAUGAGAUUGAGUACAUGUCACAUGUUCCAUACUCUAGUGUAGUGGGAUCUCUCAUGUAUGCUAUGGUUUGUUCACGUCCAGAUUUAUCAUAUGCAGUCAGUGCAGUUAGCAGAUAAAUGGCGAAUCCUGGUAAAGAAUAUUGGAAAACAGUUCAGUGGAUUUUAAGAUACUUACGAGGUACUACUGAUGUUUGCUUACAGUUUGGAAGAACUAGAGAUGGAGUCAUUGGGUAUGUUGAUGUUGAUUUUACUGGAAACCUUGAUAGAAAAAGAUCUUUCACAGGUUAUGUCUUUACAAUCGAAGGUUGUGCAAUCAGUUAGAAAGUCACUUUGCAAACUACAAUUGUUUUGUCUACCACUGAAGUUGAGUACAUGGCAAUUACUGAGGUUUAUAAAGAAGCCAUUUGGUUGAAAGGACUCUUUAGUGAACUCAAUGAAGACCUUCAAAUCAGUACAGUAUUUUGUGACAGUCAGAGUGUCAUCUUCCUUACAAAAGAUCAAAUUUUUCAUGAAAGAACAAAACACGUUGAUGUUCGGUAUCAUUUUGUUUGUGAUAUUAUUGCUUGUGGUGAUAUUGUUGUGAGCAAAAUUAGCACUCAUGAAAAUCUUGCAGAUAUGAUGACUAAGUUACUUCCUAUAACCAAGUUUAAGCAUUGCUUAGACUUGGUUAGUGUUCAUUAUUGAAGUUAAACCCUUAUGGGGUUUUAUGGAAGAGGUGGAGAACUUGUUCAUUGAGAAUUCGUGUCAAUGUGGAGAUUGUUAGAAUUAAGUGACCCGAAUCCUUAUUUAAAUAAAAUACAUUGGUAAAAUAAAAUGAAAGUAAAAUCCAUAUAGAACUACACUUCUUUUAUUUUAUUUUAGAAUAAGGUUUUUUACACCUUAUUAAGCUCCAUCUAUUUGAUAUUGAUUAGAAUAAGGUGUUUCAAUCUCACUACACUCCUAUUAGAAUAUGGUUUUACAAGCCUAUAAACAGACAUAGUCUACUUCUCUUGUAAUUAUUCGAAUUCGACAUAGUGAAUUAUCUUCUCCUUUGCCCGUGGUUUUUUUCCCGAAAGGGUUUCCACGUAAAAUAUGUGUGUUCUUUAUUUUUCUCUCUCUUUUUCUUUGCGAUACAUUGUCAUUACCGGUGUUUUAUUUUCUUACAGAAUAUUUAACUCAUACAUUCACACAAGCACCCAUUUAAACAAUCAUAUAGACAAAACCUGCUAAUCAAUCCCACAACCUUAAAAAUAUCAUGUUGAUUUUUUACUUCUUAUCAAAUAUUGAUUGCUUUUUGGAAUAGUAUUUAAUGCAAAUAAUAACAUAAGACCUAAUUUUUAAAAAAUAAAAAAAAAUCACAUAGGACUUAUAGAUAAAUAUUAAUAAUUUUAUUUAAAUACAAUUAAAGAUUAAUUAAUUAAGGUUUAAGAUUUUAAGUUCAGAUAUUAAUAUUUUUUGUAUUUAUUUAUAAUUAAUUAUGUUUUAAUAAAUUUAUUAACAUUUAUUUAUAAGUCAUUCAUUUUUUUUUUUGUUUAUUCAAUGAUUAUAUGUAGAUUAUUAUUUGCUCAUAAUACUUGAAAUCAAGAAAUACAUCAAAUAUUAUUCUUGAUUUUAGGAGUAAUAAUUUUUAUUGCUUUUUCUAAAUGAAGUAAUAUAAUGUAGUAACAAAUCAAAAAUAAAAAUAAGUUAUCUCUCUUUUUUUUGGUUGAAAAAGGAAUUAUAUUUCUAAAUUAGUAAAAGAGUCAAGCUCGAUACAUAACACAACCAUGAUUGUUCGCUAAUAAUAAAGGUUCCAAGCAACUAGGAGGAUUACUACAUGCAUUAAACAGCGCAAUGAAGAAGUAGAUUGGAAGUUACUCCCUAAAUGGGCUAAGAUGUUAAUACAUUUGUUUCCUUCUCGAAAUACAUGAAACAACAGUCUAGGAGUCAAAGAUUCUUGAAGCAUUCUGCACUCAUCAACCAAAGGUUAGAGGAUCACAUUAGUAGAGAUAUUGUUAGUCAUAAGAUAUAUAAUAAUGGUAACAUCAACUUUAAUCUCCAAGCCUUUGAUAUUUAAUGAAGGCCGCUAACUGUAGCCCAUAUCUAAGAGCCUACAACUCAACUUGAACACUAUUUGCACAAGGGAUAUGUAUAUAAGAUCCAAUCACUAAAUUGCAUUAGUCAUCCUGGAUGAGGGCAUGCGCUCUCGCCUUUCCCAGGUUUCCAAGAGCUAAAUCGCCCAUAUUGAGUUUAAACAAGUUCCUACUAAGAGGUUUUCAAGAAAUUGGAGUAAAUGAGGGGAAGGGAAUGUGUCUUACCACGUGUGAGGAAGCAAAAAAUUCUCUAGUUGUAGAAUUGAAUCUAUUAACCAAAAUUUUGAUGGGGCGAUGGUUUCCAAAGAUAACAACAUUUCUAGAUAACCAUAGUUCUCAAAUGCCAAAUCAAAAUCGCGUACCAAUGGAGGCUAAGGGAGGUUGUCCAUUCUAUAAGGACAAAUUAUUCAUGAAACAGUCUAUCCAUAACGAAAGAGGGUGCGGUCUACACUGAACCCUAGUAGCCAAAGAUUCUUAGAGGCCCUAGGAGAUAGCACAAUCGCGAAGGAUAUGGAAAACCUCUUCAGGGGUUGAGGAACACCAAGGGCAGAGGUCCUUCGAGAUGAUAUCUUUUCCUCUAAGCAAUGUUCACGUAGUAAUAGCAUUAUGCCCACACUUUCAUAAGAAAAAUUUGAGCUUUGGGGAAGUUUGGCUUUCUAUAUGAUUUUCCAAAGGGAUGCAUUAGAACAAAGGGGACUUGGAAUCGAAUUCAGCCGCAAGGGCAUACGCGCUAGCUAGAAGAAAUUUUCAUCAUUAGAACAACCCCAACAUAAAGUGUCUGACUUAUUAGGGAUAUUAGGGAUGGGUGUACUCGGGAAUGUAUCAAUCAAAAACUAAGGUAACCUUAAGGAGAUGCUAAGAGACACUUGAGCCUCCCAUCUAUCACAAACUUGUUUGAAUGACAAGAGCUUUUCACACCUUAAUAGCGGCUCUUUCAAAGGCCCUAAGCCAGACCAAUUAUCGAACCAAAACUUGACAGAUUGGCCAUCCUUUAUCACCUAUCUAAAUCUAGAAUCCAAAAGUGAACUAAACUUAUGAAGGGAAAUCCAUGUUGAGGAAACAUUGACAACCACUAGAGGGUUUCUUAGAUCUUGGGCAUAUUUGAAGAAAAACAAUUUGGCCCGUAGACUAUCCAUCUCAUGGAUUAACUUCAUCCCAACUUCAUAUGGAGAGAUUGGUUCCUAUAUUUCACGAUAGGGAUGCCUAAUUUUUAGGAGGUGAUAUACCAUACCAACUAAUUCAGUAGAGUUUCCUUGCCCCUUUCAUACCACCCUAUAAAAAGUCUUUAUUAAGUUUAUCUAGUUGAUUAAGAACACUGACAAGCAAUGACCUAAUCUACAUAAAGUAACUUGGGAUGAAAGCAAUUAUAGAUUGAAUGAGGACUAAUCUACCAACAUGAGAGAGAAGAUUGGUCUUCCAAGCUUUCAAUUUGCUACAGAUAUUUUCCACAAUGAAAUUAAAAUCCCUUCGAAAAGAGAGACUGGUCAUAGUUAGAAAGCCCAAAUACCUUCCUAUAUCCUGAGUAUCUUUUCCACAAUUUAGGAUUUGAUACUUUUAUGACAAUUGGAGGAAAAAUGAUCUUAGAUUUGCUAAAGUUAAUACAUUGGCUAAAUUCCCUCAUAAACAUCUUCAAAACUUGCCCAAUAGAAUCCAUAGUCACAGUAUCCAUCUUGCUAAAGAGAAUAAUAUCAUCAACAAAUAAAAGGUGCUAGAAGUUAGAACCACUCCUCAAAUCUCGAACCAAUUUCAACUUAUUAUGCUAAACCGCCAGAUAGAUAUGGAGAUUGAGGAAUUUCAUACAUAAGACAAAUAGGUAGGGGGCAAUGGGUCUCCCUAUCUAAUUUCUCGAGAAAGGUAAAAAGAAUUAAGCUUAGAGUCAUUCAACAAGACUGUGGUGGAAGUAGAAGAGACACAACUCAUGAUAAGAUUGACCCAAAGAGUUGAAAACCCAAAAAAGUAUAGGACUUUCUGAAGAAAGCUUCACUCUAGAUUAUCGUAUGCUUUUUUCCAAAUCAAGUUUAAUAACAAUAACCCCUUUUUUUCCUUUCAUCUUCUUAAGAUAAUGCAUGAGUUCUUGGAAAAUUAUGGCAUUAUCCAUAAAAUGCCUACAAGAAACAAAGCUACCUUAAAACGGAGAGAUAAUUCUGCGCAGUAUAGGUAUAAGUUUCAUGACUAGAACUUUGGUAAUGAUCUUAUAAAUCGUGUUGCAUAGACUUAUCAAAUGAAAUUGAGAAAUGGAAGUAGCUUCUCUCAAUUUGGAGAUAAGGGUGAUAAGAGUUUCAUUUAGCGACGGAGGGAUAGAAGCCUUAGCAAAAACCUCAGAUACAGUUCGAAUUACUCUCUAUUUCACAUUGAGUCAACAACGGUGGUAGAAAAACGGGUGUAGAUCAUCCGAACCUAGAGCCUUUAGAGGUUUAAAAGACCAAAUUGCCUUAGUAAUGCCCACGUGGGAAAUCUACGCAAGGAGAGAUUGGAUUUCUAGAUUGGAAAGAUGAAGCCAAAUAAGCAAAUCGCGCUAAAAAACCAAAGGACACUACUUUCUCAAAGGUGGUAAAAAGUUGAUCAAAAUGAUUCUAAACCAAAUUCUCAAUACUUGUUUGCUCAGUAAUCCACCUACCAUUAUUAUCAAAAGGCCUAACAAUACGAUUGAAGUUUUCGCAAACUAAAGUGGAUAGGUGGAAAAACUUGAUAUUUCAUUCUCCAUUGAUAAUCCAAUUAACUCUGGAUUUAAGAGCCCAAAUAAGUUCUUCCUACUACAAGGUCUCAUUAAGGUCACUAGACAAAAAUUUAUGUAGGUUAAUUAAGAAGUCAUUAGGAUCAUCAACUAGGGAUCAUUCAAUUCUCAAAAUUCUAGCUAAAAGAUGUUUCUUGGAUCAAAAGACAUUACCAAAAGUAAACAUAUUCCAACCCGAUAAAUAAGAAGUAAAAUCAGAAAUGGUUGAUGGGAAAGAGCUAUUUGAAUCUAACAAAAAAUGGUGAAGUAUGGAUUUAAACUCAAAGUGAUCAAACCAUAUUUUAUGGAAACUCUUCUAGAUUUCUUAAAAUCAAUUAUCUCUAUCGCAUAUAAAAAUGUAAAAUUUUCAAAUUUAAUGUUAUUGUUGGUAUGCUAUUAUUAAUAGAAUUAUUACUGAAUUUAAAUCAUAUAAGAGUAUCCACUACCUUCUUCAUCAGUUUUUUUUAUUCUUAUAAUUUAUGUUUAGAUUUGUGACUUUCUCUUUUAACAAUAUAAUUUGCAAAGUUCCAACUUACAUUUACUAUUGAAAAUUCAUUAUGCUUAAUCAUUGCACUCAACCCUUACUAAUAAAAUUAACCACUAUCUUAAUUUGAUGAACCUUUAAGAUGAUAAAUUUAAAAUAUUCUCAUAUAUUUUUAAUAUGUGUAAUUUGUUCUAAAUUCUACAUUAAACAAACAAAUAUGUUAUCUUUACAUAGAAUUAUAAUAUCAAACUAUCAGGCCUAUGUUAUGAAUAAUUUUUCAAAAGGUCAAUCGAUUUGAUUGGCUCGAUUUACAAUUAAUGCAUAACAUAAUAAGCUCAUUCAAGCAUAACUUUAUACUCGAUUAUAUUUUACGAAAAUCUUGUAUUUUAUCAUCUUAAUUAGAUAAGAUAUUAUAGUUAUGAAUAUUAGAAAAUUAACUAUCUUUUGCCUAAUUUUGUCAACUAUAGUGUUUACAAUAAAAUUUGUAUAAUAUAUUUUUUAUGAAUUAAAUAAUGCAUACACAUCUUAAGUCUACUUAUCUACAAUUGACUAUAAGUCAUGUAGGAGUUCAAUUCCAAAUAUAGUAACACCUGAGAUGGAAACUGUUAAAAAAUCGAGAAACUUGAAAAAUUCAUCGAAACUUGAAAAAUUCAUCUGAUUUUUCAUUCAUAUAUCUUACAAGAUUAUUUACAAAAUACAUAAAGUUGUCAAACCAUCGCCUAAAAAAAUGAAAAAAACUAUCAUCUGCUAGCUAACUCUUAACUAAUUGAAACUAACAAACUAACUAUUUGUUUCAACACUCCCCUUCAAGGUGGUGGUUGAAAUACAUAUUUAACCCCCAACUUGGAUACUAAAUGCUCAUGUUGUUGUACCCCCAAAAUCUUUGUAAAGAUGUAUGCCAACUGCUCUAUGGAGGAUACAUGCUCAGUCUUUAUAAGACCAUUCUGAAUCUUCUCUCUUAUGAAAUGGCAGUCCACUUCUAUGUGCUUAGUUCAUUCAUGGUAAACCAGAUUUGCUGUUAUCUGUAAAGUAACUUUACUAUCACAGAAAAGCUUUAUUGAUUGCUUUCUCCUGAUUCCAAUCUCAGUCAGUAAACCAUCUAGCCAAACUACCUCUGUUGUUGUGACCUACUCCUAUACUCUUGUACUCUACUUCUACUGAAGACCUGGCUAUAGUGGAUUGCUUCUUUGAUUUCCAAGAAAUCAGCGACUUGCCAAGUUUUAAACAAAAACCUAAUACAAACUUUCUUGUUAUUGGGCAGGAUGCCCAGUCAGAGUCACAAUUUGCAACCAACUCACACUCACUCAAGGCAUCAAGAAAUAUUCAUUGUCUUGGAUUUUUCUUCAAGUAUCUCACCACUCUUAAUGUUGUAUCCAAGUGUGCCUUUUUGGGUUAUUGCAUGAAUUGGCUCAAAUGAUGAACUGAGAAGGUUAUAUCUGGUCUGGCAUGAGUUAAGUAAAUAAGUAUUCCCACAAGCCUUUGAAAAACUGACUUGUCAUCUGGCAACUUAUCACCAUUCAUUUCACCAUUCUCUUGCUGUAGAUUCUCAUCAUAUUCUAUUGAGGUCAACUUAUUAUUCAGUUCUAUAGGAGUUGUAGCUGGCUUUGCUCCCCCUACCCCAGUUUCUUUAAUCAAUUCUAAUGUAUACUUCCUUUGGUUGAUUAAAAUUCCUUCCUUCGUCCUUAGUAUUUCAAGACCAAAGAAAUUUUUUAACUCUCUAAAAUCCUUCCUUCUAAAGUUCUGAUACAGAAUUCCCUUCAGCUCUUCAAUCAUACUUUUACUGCUCCUAGUAAUCAGUAAAUUAUCCAUAUAAAUGAGCAUGAUUACUAUCUCAUUCCUUUUUUCUUGGUAAAUAAAGAAUAAUCAGGCCUGCUCUGUUCAUAUCCAGCUGCUAUAAGAGUCUCUGUCAGUUUUAGAUUCCAUUGCCUUGAUGUCUGCUUCAGGCCUCAUAAUGAUUUUUGCAGUCUACAUACCUUACCCUCCCCCUAGCUGCAAAAACCAGUAGACAAAUCCAUGUAGACUUCUUGUACCAAAUCACCUUGAAGGAAAGCAUUGUAAACAUCUAACUGAAACAACAGCCAACUGAAAAUAGAUGCCAACGCAAGUAAAAGCCUCACAGUAACCAUUUUGGGAAUAGGGGAGAAAGUGUCAACAUAAUUUAUCCCUUCUUUUUAAUUAUAACCCUUAGCCACCAGCCAAGCUUUGAAUCUCUUAAGUUCACCCGAUGUUUUAUACUUAAUCUUGUAAACCCAUUUACAACCAAUAGGGACCUUUCUAGUUGGAAGAGAGACAACAGACCAAGUAUUAUUGGACUCAAGAGCUUGACUUUCCUCAUUCAUGGCAUGAAUCCAAUGAGGAUAUCUAAUGGCUCCAUUAUAGGUGGUAGGCUCAAUCAAUGAAGAAGUCAAGGAAAUAUAGUGUUGAGUAUGAUAAUGUAAAUGGACAUAAGAAAUGGCAUUUGAAAUAGGAUACUGAAAAGGAAAUGAGGUAGAUUGAUUACUACAAAUGAAAUCAUUCAACUACUGAGGUGGUUUUGAAACAUGAAAAGGCUUUCUAGGAACUAGAGUUUUUAAACUAAGAGGACCUGAAGAUGACUAUACUGGAUAACUUGUUGAGGGUGUAAAGCUUGAAACAGUAGGUUGUAGUGAAAACAACUGCGGUGAGUGUAGGGUGGAAAUAAUAGGCUGUGGUGGAUUUAAAACAAGAAAUUCUGAAUCAGAUAAGGGAACUGAAGAAGGAAAAAAAGGAGAAGAUUUAGCUAAGGGAAGGUGAAAAGGAAAAGAAUGCUCAUGAAAGAUCACAUCGAUGUUAACAAAAAAUUUAUGUGUUUCAAGAUUGAACAAGAUGUAACCUUUCUGUGUAGUAGAGUAUCCCAUAAGCACAGAAGGAACUACUUUUGGGGAACACUUAUCAUAAUAGUUAGACUGUGUAGCAUAACAAAGACAUCAAAAAAAUCUUAAGAUGAGCCAGACUAGGAGGUUUUUUUAUAGAGACACUCAUAAGGAGUCUUCCCUUGUAAAAAAGAAUAUGGCAAUCUAUUGAUGAGGUAAUAAGCAGUGGUAACACACUCACCCCAAAAUUUAAGAGGUACUUUGGAUUGAAAAUGAAUGGCUCGGGAUACUUCUAGGAUGUGUCUAUGUUUACGUUCAGCCACCCCAUUUUGUUGAUGUAUAUGAACACAUGAACUUUGAUGCAUUAUACCAAGAGAGGAAAAAAGAGUAGACAUUCCAUAUUGAAAAAUUCGGUCCCAUUAUCACUAUGGAUAUUCUUACCUAAGAGAGAAAACUAGGUUUUAACAAAGGAGAAGAAAUGUCUAAGAAACAAAAUUGUGUCACUCUUAACCCUCAAGAGAUAAAUCCAAGCCAUGUGUGUACAGUCAUCUACAAUAGUGAGAAAGAGCCUAUGUCCAUUAUGUGUUGAAACACGAUAAGGACCCCAAAUAUCAACAUGAAUGAGUUCAAAAGGUAUGUCAGACCUUGAAUGAAUAAGAGGAAAAGGUAAUCUAUUCUGUUUGGCUAAAAGACAUAUACUACAAUUAUGCACAAUAUUAGUAUCAAGUUUGCAAGAAUUAAAAACAAGUAACUUUUACAUUAUUGUAAUAGAAGCAUGCCCUAAACGAGCAUUCCAUACAUGAGUAUUAUUGUGCAAAACAAUAGAUUGCUGAUCAGCAGACAUUGAAUCAUCAUGAGAAACAACAUUGGAAAAAGGGAAAACACUACAUUGAACUGAAUAUAACAAACCAGAAACUCCUUUAACAGACUCAAAAAAAUAUAGCCCUCUAGACUCUCUACCAAUCCUCUUAAUCAUGUUAUUCGAGAGAUCCUACAGCAGACAAAAGUCAGGAUAAAACACGAUGGAAUAAUUAAGUUCUUUGGAAAGUUUAGACACUGAAAGGUGAUUGUGAGAAAAAUUCGGAACAAGUAAGACAUUGGUAAUGAGGUGAUCAUGGGUCAACCUAUAAGAACCUAUAUGGGCAAUAGUAUAUGUUUUACUAUUUGGUAGAUGAGCAUAACAAGGUGUAACACAUGAAACAAGAAACAACAAGAUACGAUAUGAUCUGUCUUCCUUGUAUCUAAAAUCCAACGAAGAGAUCCAUUAGUAGCAGGUAAACAUCCAGAAACAGUACCUGUAAGAUUUACAAUGAAAUCCUUCGAAGGAGCCUUGUUGAUGAGACUCAAAAUUUUGUUGUAUUGGUCAGCAAUGAAUGUCGGUAAAUACAAGGCAGUAGAAGUAGCCGACGAACCAAGGUCAGAAGUUGAGUGAUCAAUUACCUCUGAAUUGAUGGCCAUAGCUGCCUGUGGAAUUUUCUUCUUUGUGAACUUAAAAUCUGAGGGGAAACUAAUCAGUUGGUAGCAAUUAUCAUGAUGAUGGCCUUUAAUUUUGCAGUAGUCGCAAACCCCAUUGUAUCGGUAGUGAUCUGAACUUCUAGAGGCAUUUGAAAACAUUAUAGUAUUCUCCACAAUAGGAACUCUAGACAAGUGCACACAUGUGAUUCCUCUUGUACUAUUAUCGAAUAUGCUUGAUUUACCGAAGUGGUUGCAUAAGCAAAAUCUAACUCUGCUGAACCAUAUGCACAUGAUUCAAUUGAGAAACCUCACAAUUGCAUGAUGUAAACAGGACCAAAGCACUAUACUCGUUCCACAAAAGUUUGAGACGUGUGAAGUAAAUAGAAAAAGUAGACUCACCCUGGUUAAGAGUUACAAUCGAUCGAUGAAGGAAGAAAAUCCUUAACCCAUUAACUUUGUCAAAGCGUUCCUUCAAAUCUUGCCACGGCAACGCCGUACUGGAAGCAAACACAAUCCCAACCGAAAGUUCCUGAUUAACGGUGUUGAGUAUCUAGGAUAACACCAUUGCAUUGCAUCUCUCCCAUUAUGGAUGCAAUGCCUACUCAUAAUCGUCUUUGUGACAGUUUCAUCAAUGAAUCCCAGCUUGUUUUUUUGCAAGAAGGGCAAUCCGCAUCGAUUUGCUCCAUAUACUAUAGUUUUCCAAACCCACAAGCUAAUGAGAGACCAGAUGCACUCUUGGCUUAUCCGAGGGGUGCAAAAACAAUGGAUGAUUGAAAUCAACAAUGCCUUCCAUGCUUCAUACCUGAAACCCUAAUCGAACUCAAUGAAAAAAACAAACACGAUUUCAGAAAUCUGAUCAGGAAAUUUGAAGGAAAAAAACUUACGCUGAUACCAUGUUAAAAAAUCGAGAAACUUAAAAAAUUCAUUUGAUUUUUCAUUCAUGUAUCUUACAAGAUGAUUUACAAAAAUAUAUAUAGUUGUCAAACCAUCACCCAAGAAAAAGAAAAAAAAUGUCAUUUGCUAACUAACCCUAACUAAUUGAAACUAACAAACUAACUAUUUGUUUCAACAGAAACUUGAUUUAUAUUAUGAUUCACGCAUGAUCUCUUAUCUUCUUACUCACUUUGAUGUUUGAUUUUAAGUAUUGGGAAAACUCUCAAAUUUGGCUGGGUAGAGAAACAGAUCAAGGGCUUUAUAUAUAGUACUUUUAUAAGAAACAACUCAUUAUAGUGUCAAUAUACAUGCCUUAUUCUUCCUCCUCCUAUAUAUAAAUGUACAAUUAUAUGAAUCAUUUUAAUGUGAUACAAUUAAAUUGGGAAGAUUAACGUUAACCAAACUUAAUUUGAUUAAUGGACCCGCAAAAUUUUAAUAUAUGUAUUUUAAUUUUACUUUGAACAUUAAAAAUACAUAAACUUUGGUCAAUACAUUUAAAUUCCAACAAGAAAAUGAUAUGAAAAAUGUUUUAUUUUUGGGAGACUACACUUAGAUGGCAAUUUAUCCAUAUAUAGCAUGAUUUCAUGCUUCAUGGAAUAACAAUUCUCGUGAUAAUACUUUUCUAUUAUAAUGAGUUUUUCCUGUUGUGGUUCAUAAUUAAAGGGAAAAAAAAAGGAGAAAGGAGAAAUCAAAGCAGGGGUUAAUUAUAUAAUUAAAAGGAACAAGGGAAGUACAAUUGAUAGGACUGCUUGGAUGCCAAUUUGGUGGCAAUGUUGGACUACCUUACCUAUACCUCCAGCAAAGAAUGUUUUGGCGGAGAUUUUGAUUUAUUUUGUUUCGUAAACUUCACACUCCAUCUAAAAAUGUGAGAAAUAUGAGCCACUCUGUUGCUUGGAAGAAAAAGGGUCUAACAACUGGAAUUUAUAACCUAGAUUCCAAAAUAAAAUAAUUAUUUUAAACAAUCAGAAAUAAAUAAAAUAAUAAUAAUAAUUUAACCUCAAAGAGAUACCCAUAAAUCAUAACCACCAUAUAGAUGAAACUGAUUGAAGGAUUGUAUCUAAUAAGGCUUAUGAAAAUUUAUAUAGGUGAAAAACUUCUGAGAGAGUAAAAGAUAUAAGGUAGGGUAGUUACUAGACCUGAUCAUGGGUCGGGUCGAUACAUAAUUUUAGAUCCACCUUUUAGGUUUUAGUCAAAAAUUUAGCUUAAAAUUUUGUCUGAACCUGACUCAUAUUAAAAAUGCUAAAUUCGAGCUUGAUCCGACCCGACCGUAAUAAAUUUUUUAUAUAAAAAUAAAUUUAAAAAUUAUAAUACAUCAAAUACAUUGAAAAAUUGAAAUAAAUAUUUUUCAACAAAUUGAAAAUUAAAAAAAAAAGCAUAGGCAUGUGAUUUGGACCAAGCUCGGAUAAAAAAAAAUUUCCCAAGACUCGAUCCAUUUAAAAAACAUGAUUUUUGUCCAAACCUAUUUUUUGAACCCAUAUUUUUACCUAAACUCUCCCACUUUUUGAACGGUUGACCCAACCUAUAAUCAGGUCUAGUAGCUACCAUCAAACUCUCCCUCUCACUGUAUUUAAUCUCAGUAAAAUAUGACACUUAUCAAGUCAAAAUUUUUACUUAAUGGUAAUUACUAUAAAUAUAUAAAACUAUUUAAUUUGUAUUAUAAAAUUAAGGAUCACUCGUAUAUGUUAACAUUUUUUAUUUAAUAAAUAAAUAUUCUAACAUUCUUUCACUUCGUCCGAACUUUAUAACAAUAUUUUUAAGGAUAAAUCUUAAAAUUAUACAUAAACUUUGAUUUAAUAUAUAAUUGUAUGCAUAAACUUUAAUUUGGUGUAAUUAUGCAUGUGAAACUUUAAUUGUGGUUCAAAUGUAUACUUAAAAAUUUAAUUUUGAUUUAAUUAUACAUAUUUAAAGAAAUAAAUACAUUAAUUUAUUUAUAUAUUAGAUAAAUAUAAUUAUUCAUGUAUGCAAUAUAUAAACAUAAAAUGAUGAUGCUAUAUCAAUAAUUGUGUUAAACAUUUACAAAAAUUGAAUAUCAAAAUUCAUGUAUACAAUUGCACAUUAAAUCAUAAUUGAUGUAUAAUUUUAGUAUUUAUCUCUAUCUUUAUUAAUAUUUCUAUACAUCAUAUGUUUAAGUAGAAGAAUAUAUUUUAGGCGACGUAGGUGAGUCAGAAGCCGGGAUAUCUGAAAUUAAUAGAUCAUAACAGCAAGUAUGCUAUGCCAAAACAUCGGCCUCUCCUCUUUGGCCUUUUAAACAGGCACUGCCUUUUAGCUGUUAAUCUCCAUUAAUUUAGACUACUUCUUCAAACUCAUCUGGACUUUAAUGAUAUAUUUAGCCUAAGUUUAAUUUCUGAUGUGCAGGAUCCAUAGUUAUGGCAAGCACAAAGCAUACUAUUAAACUCACGAGAGAUUUUUUUUCACAGAUAUACCAUUUCCAGGCAGGAAGAGAUUUGAGAAAGUUUAGCAAGACAUAGUUUAGAAAACACACUGGAAUUUUAUUUUCGAAACUUGUUCUUCUACAACUGAACUUCUAAAUCCCUUAUAUAGAAGGGGAAAACCUAAUGAGCAGAUAAGAAGGAAUCUGCUUUUUCUUUUAGUACAGUGAUAUGAUAAAGCAAAAAGACAUGACUCAGCAAAAUAAUUUACAUAAAGGUAAAACAGAUAAAAAGGAAUCAGCUUUUUAAUUACUAUCAUCACUAUCAUAGUCUGUACUUAUGUUGGACAUGAUAUUCAGCUCUUCUGCUUUUCUUUUCUUUUUUUCACGUGCUCGAUGACACUUUAGCUCCAACUGUUCAAUCCUUAUUUCAAGAUCAUCAGGUGGUAUCAUAUCAUGAAUUGGUAAGAUUGAUGUCUUUGUUGUUUUGUAAACGUCUUUCUCUUUCCAGCUUGAUGUGUCUUCUUGUAUAUCUCGCCAUGCUGAUGUGUCUUGAACUGCUUGGCUACAAUAUCGGAUACUCCUGAGACCAUUCUUUUGGGUCUGGGAUAUUGGUCUGAUAUUCCACUAAGGCUUGUCUCAACUGUUCUUGAUAAAGUGUUAGUGGUACGUCUUUAUCCCAUGGGGCAAGUAUGUCUUCUGAGGGCCAUAUUUCUUCAGGAAUGAUUCUGUUUAUCUGACAGAGAUACUUCUGUAAGCUUUUGUAGCGACAUUGGCUAGUGCUUAUCUCCGAGUGAUAGGUUUUGUUAAUCCAUGCACUAGGAAAUGCUCCAAGUUGUGUUGCUGGACCAUUUUGUACGAAGUAUUGUGGCUUGUAAAAGAUAAUUACCAUCCACUGGGCUUUCAUAUUUUUGAGAUAUUCUAGCCCAAUCAUCUCAUGCCAUUGUUCAAGUGGAUAAAACCAUUUGAGAAAGGUUGCAAAAUUCUUCAUCUCUGGACUCAGUUCUUCUUGUGUAGCCAUAGUCACAUAAUAUUGGAGAUCUUCAAUGUGGAACUCAAUCCCAAUAUGAAACAAAUGGGUUAAGUACCAAAACAUCCAUUUAAGUUCUUCAGGAAAUUCUCCAAAUUGGAAUUUUAUGGGAUGGAUAAAAGGAUAUUUGGGGUGAAGUCCUAAAGGUUUUAGGAAUAAACCUCUAAAAUCUCUGAAAACAUUUUUUUGGUAAGAAAGCAUCAUGUUCAUGGCUUCUCUAUGGAAUCUUAUUUCUAGUAUAAGGCUUAACACAUUUGGUGGAUGAUCAGGGUGAGAAUUUGGUUGAUAAGGUAGUGAAAAUGGUGAAGGUGGUUGUUGGGUUUUCUUUUUCCCUUUUCCUUUGGAGGAGGAAGGUUGGAACAUAAAAACUUCAACUGGAUGAUGGGCUUGAGCUGAAAAUUUUGGUGGUCUUGAGAGGAUAUCAGCAAGGACAUUAUGUUUUCCUUUUAUAUCAACAACAUCAAAAGAAAAUUUAGAAAACCAUUCUGCCCAACGGAGGAGUUGAGGAUGUGGCACCUCUUUUUGCUUGAAUUGUAACAUUUUUUGGAAGGAAGACAUAUCCAUUUCAACAAGGAAACGAUAACCAGUCAAGUGAAAUUGGAAUUUAGAGAUUCCAUUCUUGACAGCAAGGAUUUCUUUGAAUGUUGAAUGGUAAUGGAUUUCAGAAUCAUUGAAUCUUCCACUUUUGUAUCCACAAAGAUGUUUUUUUCCAUUAUCUUCUUCUAACAAGAUAGCUCCCCAAUAUUUGUCACUAGCAUCAGUCUGCAAAAUUCUUUUUCCUUCUGAAGGAAUCUGUAAUGGAAGCAGAUGAGUAGUUUUUCCUUUUAAUUUCUGGAUUGCUUUCGUCUGAUUGGAACUCCAGGGAGGUGGAUCGUUCUUCAACAUUUUUCUUAAAGGAUUUGUUAAUUUUGAGAUUUUCGAAACAAAAUCUCUGAGAUAAUUAACAAUUCCUAAGAACUGUUGUACUUGCUUUUGAGAAAGAUUACUAUCUGGAAAUUUUUUUAACUCUUCAGCAAUGCUUGGAUGAGGCUGAUAUCUCCCAUCUUUAUUUGUUAUUCCAAGGAACUCAAUUUCUUCCUUGUUGGUUUGCAUUUUUCUUUUAGAAAGCAUGAUUCCCUUCUCUAGAAUAAUCUACAUGAAUCUUUCAAGGAGAAUAGCAUGACUUUCCUGGUCUGGACUGUAGAGCAAUAUGUCAUCAAUGUAGAUCAGAGCCUGAUCCAUAAUGGGCUAAAAAAUCUUGAUCAUGGCUUUUUGGAACAGUGAUGGGGCAGUCUUUAAUCCAAAAGGCAUGACUGUCCAUUGAAAAUGUUUAUUUGGGAUACAGAAUCCCGUUUUGGGCGUUUCUUUAGGACUAAUCCCCAAUUGCCAAAAUCCUGCUUUAAGAUCAAACUUUGAGAAAACUCAGCCCUUUGCAAGGCUUGAAAACAUACAAUUCUUGUUGGGUAAAGGAAACUUGUCAUCUUGUAGGAAAUGAUUAAGAGGCUGAUAGUUAAUUACCAGUCUUAAUUUUCCUCUAGCUUGUUCAGAUCUUUUGUUGACAUAAAAAGCUUCACAAGCCCAUUGUGAAUCUGAGGCUUCAAUCAAUCCUUCUUCUUGUAGCUGUUGGCAUUCUUUUUCAGCUAACUUUAGGUGUUCCAGAUUCAUUCCCACAUAGUUGGCUUUAGUUGGAUUGAUGUCUUCAUUUUUCUUGAAAGGAAGUUUGAUAAAGAAUUCAGAGUUUCUCCAUAAAGGAUGGUUACAUUUAUCAAGGAAAUCUAAAUGAGAUUCUGCACAUGAUCUCUGCUUUAGUUCUUUCACGAUCAUCUGGAUCUUCUCAGCAUGUAUCAUGAAUAAUCUGGGAAUAGGUACAUAAGGUUUGAACAUUUGUUUGUACCAUAACUUCAGGAACUGGUAGAUUUUGAGAAAUCUGGGGAAUUUGCAAGCUUAGAGAAUCUGGUGGAAAAGGAGGGUAAUGUAUUUGAGUUUGAAUCAUAAAUGCUUCACUGGACUCUUCACUAGAUGAGGAUUCCGAAUCACUGUAUUCUAUACUCUGAAUGGCACAUACCGAUUUAUCAUUUGGCUCAUCAUCAAUGGAAAAUAGUGAGUCAAUAUCAUCAUCUUCUGUGAUUUUUACACCUGAUUUUUGUUGUAUAUGUUGGAUCAUCUUGGCUACUUUCUUAUUUUUAGGACAAGAUUUUGCAAAAUGUCCUUUCUGGUUGCAAAUGUAGCAUCGGGUUGAUUUGGUUCCCUUAGAUGAUCUUCUUUUCUUCUUCAGGUAUCUCCAUUUAUACCUUUUUCUAGGAAUUGUUGGAGAGAAUUUCUUUAUCUUCCGGAAAUACUUUUUCUUCUUUGUGGGAUAGUAACAUGACUUGUCAUUCCCACAUUUAAUUUUGAGAUGUGAAUCACAACAGGCUUUGCCCAAUCUUCUGUCACCAUGAAGAUAAUCUUUGAAGACUUUUCUUCUAUUGCAUAGAUCUUCAAGAGCAAUGUAUGUUUCUUGCUAAAUUUCUCCUAUGGUUAGAUUGAGAAUGUUCUUGUUUUGCCUAUAGAGAUUUUGAUUGAUCGCCACCUGGAGAGGAUCUGGAAUAGAGGAAAUCACCGCUUGUUUAAGGUUAGAUUCUGAACCAAGUGCAUAAAAAAGUUUUGUCAUCGCAUAAAAAUGCUUAGACAAAUCCUUCUUCUUACAGGAACAACACUUUCUUUUGAAAAACUCUCGUCUUUUCAGAGUUAACAGAUCAUCAGGAUUUCCAAUAAAAUAAUGAUGGAUAAUCCUAAUUGCCUGGGAUAAAUCUGUCGACACUAAAAAUUUUAAUUGAUCUGCUUGAGGAAUAGAAUUCCACCAAUCUUUCAACAUCUCUGUGAAUCUUAAAACAAAUUAGAUGAGAACGUUGUAAUGGCUUUCUUCUGCUAAUUUUCUGGUUUCCAGCCAUGAAUGGAACUCUUCUAAUCUCUCUGGCCAUCUACUGGUUGGAAUAUCGUCAAGAGUGAAGAUUAUUUUCCCUGUAGAGACAUGGGAUGUUGUUCUUGUAUUUGAACUUGAUGGUUCACCUGCUUCAGUCAUUUCUUCUUCUGAUACUUCUUCAACUUUUACUCCAGGGGAUGUUGUGGUCAUUAUUUCAGGGGGAUCUUCUGAAUCUUUUUCUGAUGUUUCUGAAUUAGAUGGCUCUAAAUCUUCUGAAACAGAUUCUGAUUCAGAUGAAGAUGGCAAGGAUUCUAGAGUUACUUCAGGCUCAUGAAAGACAGAUAUUUUUGGAAGAAUUUCUCUACUAUAAUCCUUUAAAAAAUUUGUUAAAGGAUAAGGAGAUUGUUCUUCAUUUUGCAUCAUCAAAGACUUUGAUAUUUGUUUUGGUGGAGAUGAAGGUGGGGAUAAGAAUGGACUUACUUGUUCUUUUUCUUCUUGUUUCUCCAAUGGUCUUUUUCCUAGAGCCUUUUCUUUCUGUCUCUUUUCUUCUUCCUUUUGCGCCUUGAUUUGUAAAUACAAAUCAUAAGUGUUGGGUUUCUUCUUAUCUUCUGGUGGAAGAAAUUGCAAUCUGAUUGUUCCGGAUGAUUUUGGCUUGUCAAACUGCCUUACAGAUGGGAAAAGUUCAAUCACAUUUCUUGCUGGUUGAGGAGGAGGCAGUUUUUCAUUUUCUUUGAGAUACUUGAUCUGCUCUUUAAGAUUUUGAAUUUCUUUUUUUCUUUGUGCAAGAUGAGAAAAGAAAUCUUGACCUGGUGCAGCUGUCUCACUGGCAACCUCUUUAAGCCUCUUUUGGAAAAGCUUAAUAAAGUUUUGAUCAUCACGGAAUUCUCAUCGGUACACUUUUCUAUCUUGGACACCUUGGUAUCAAUUUGAUUGACCUUCUGGUCUAUCUUUUUUAAAACAGAAUUUUGAGCUAGCACAUUUUCUGCCUACCAAUUUAGAGUGGCUUCAGCUGCUGCUAUCUUUAUCUGUCAGCCAUCUGCACCCACUUGCAAUUUUGUCAGAAUUUUAGAGGCAUAAAGAUGCUCCUUCUUUGAAAAUUCUUCUAAUGGUGGAAAUUGAUGCUCAUAUGAAGAAGUUGAUUCAAACAUCUGUACUUCCGGAAUUUUUUGUUGAGGGACAACAACCUUUUCUUCUUGAGCGCAUAUCUGGAAUUGAUUAUGCUUCUGGACCUAUUUAUUGAUCCUUUUAGAGCAUGGUUGCCUCAAAGGCUUUGAUAACCAUCUCUGUUCUGAAUCUGCUUUUUAACUAUUAUCAUCACUAUCAUAGUCUGUACUUAUUUCAGACGUGAUAUUCAGCUCUUCUGCUUAUCUUUUCUUUUUUUCACGUGCUCGAUGACACUUUAGCUCCAGCUGUUCAAUCCUUAUUUCAAGAUCAUCAGGUGGUAUCAUAUCAUGAAUUGGCAUGAUUGAUGUUUUUAUUGUUUUGCAAACGUCCUUCUCUUUCCAGCUUGAUGCGUCUUCUUAUAUAUCUCGCCAUGCUGAUGUGUCUUGAACUGCUUAGCUACAAUAUCGGAUACUCUUGAGACCAUUCUUUUGGGUUUGGGAUAUUGGUCUGAUAUUCCACUAAGGCUUGUCUCAACUGUUCUUGAUAAAGUGUUAGUGGUACGUCUUUAUCCCUUGAGGCAAGUAUGUCUUCUGAGGGCCAUAUUUUUUCAGGAAUGAUUCUGUUUAUCUGACAGAGAUAUUUCUGUAAGCUUCUAUAGCGACAUUGGCUAGUGCUUAUCUCCGAGUGAUAGGUUUUGUUAAUCCAUGCACUAGGAAAUGCUCCAAGUUGUGUUGCUGGACCAUUUUGUACGAAGUAUUAUGGCUUGUAAAAGAUAAUACCAUCCAUUGGGCUUUCAUAUUUUUGAGAUAUUCUAGCCCAAUCAUCUCAUGCCAUUGUUCAAGUGGAUAAAACCAUUUGAGAAAGGUUGCAAAAUUCUUCAUCUCUGGACUCAAUUCUUCUUGUGUAGCCAUAGUCACAUAAUAUUGGAGAUCUUCAAUAUGGAACUCAAUCCCAAUAUGAAACAAAUGGGUUAAGUACCAAAAUAUCCAUUUAAGUUCUUCAGAAAAUUCUCCAAAUUGGAAUUUUAUGGGAUGGAUAAAAGGAUAUUUGGGGUGAAGUCCUAAAGGUUUUAGGAAUAAACCUCCAAAAUCUCUGAAAACACUUUUUUGGUACGAAAGCAUCAUGUUCAUGGCUUCUCUAUGAAAUCUUUUUUCUAGUAUAAGGCUUAACACUUCUGGUGGAUGAUCAGGGUGAGAAUUUGGUUGAUAACGUAGUGAAAAUGGUGAAGGUGGUUGUUGGGUUUUCUUUUUACCUUUUCCUUUGGAGGAGGAAGGUUGGAACAUAAAAACUUCAACUGGAUGAUGGACUUGAGCUGAAAAUUCUGAUGGUCUUGAGAGGAUAUCAGCAAGGACAUUAUGUUUUCCUUUUAUAUGAAUAACAUCAAAAGCAAAUUUAGAAAACCAUUCUGCCCAACGGAGGAGUUGAGGAUGUGGCAUCUUUUUUUGCUUGAAUUGUAACAUUUUUGGGAAGGAAGACAUAUCCAUUUCAACAAGGAAACGAUAACCAGUCAAGUGAAAUUGGAAUUUAGAGAUUCCAUUCUUGACAGCAAGGAUUUCUUUGAAUGUUGAAUGGUAAUGGAUUUCAGAAUCAUUGAAUCUUCCACUUUUGUAUCCACAAAGAUAUCUUUUUCCAUUAUCUUCUUCUAACAAGAUAGCUCCUCAAUAUUUGUCACUAACAUCAGUCUGCAAAAUUCUUUUUCCUUCUGAAGGAAUCUGUAAUGGAAGCAGAUGAGCAGUUUUUCCUUUUAAUUUCUGGAUUGCUUUCGUCUGAUUGGAACUCCAUGGAGGUGGAUCGUUCUUCAACAUUUUUCUUAAAGGAUUUGUUAAUUUUGAGAUUUUCGAAACAAAAUCUCUGAGAUAAUUAACAAUUCCUAAGAACUGUUGUACUUGCUUUUGAGAAAGAUUACUAUCUGAAAAUUUCUUUAACUCUUCAGCAAUGCUUGGAUGAGGCUGAUAUCUCCCAUCUUUAUUUGUUAUUCCAAGGAACUCAAUUUCUUCCUUGUUGGUUUGCAUUUUUCUUUUAGAAAGCAUGAUUCCCUUCUCUAGAAUAAUCUACAUGAAUCUUUCAAGGAGAAUAGCAUGACUUUCCUGGUCUGGACUUUAGAGCAAUAUGUCAUCAAUGUAGAUCAGAGCCUGAUCCAUAAUGGGCUGAAAAAUCUUGAUCAUGGCUUUUUGGAACAGUGAUGGGGCAGUCUUUAAUCCAAAAGGCAUGACUGUCCAUUGAAAAUGUUUGUUUGGGAUACAGAAUCCCGUUUUGGGCCUUUCUUUAGGACUAAUCCCCAAUUGCCAAAAUCCUGCUUUAAGAUCAAACUUGGAGAAAACUCGGGCCUUUGCAAGGCUUGAAAACAUACAAUUCAUGUUGGGCAAAGGAAACUUGUCAUCUUGUAGGAAAUUAUUAAGAGGCUGAUAGUUAAUUACCAGUCUUAAUUUUCCUUUAUCAAGAACAGUUGAGACAAGCCUUAGUGGAAUAUCAGACCAAUAUCCCAGACCCAAAAGAAUGGUCUCGGGAGUAUCCGAUGUAUUGUAGCCAAGCAGUUCAAGACACAUCAGCAUGGCGAGAUAUACAAGAAGACACAUCAAGCUGGAAAGAGAAGGACGUUUACAAAACAACAAAGACAUCAAUCAUACCAAUUCAUGAUAUGGUACCACCUGAUGAUCUAGAAAUAAGGAUUGAACAGCUGGAGCUAAAGUGUCAUCGAGCACGUGAAAAAAAGAAAAGAAAAGCAGAAGAGCUGAAUAUCAUGUCCGACAUGAGUACAGACUAUGAUAGUGAUGAUAAUAAUUAAAAAGCAGAUUCCUUCUUAUCUGUUUUACCUUUAUGUAAAUUAUUUUGCUGAGUCAUGUCCUUUUGCUUUAUCAUAUCACUGUACUAAAAGAAAAUGCAGAUUCCUUCUUAACUGCUCAUCAGGUUUUCCCCUUCUAUAUAAGAGAUUUAGAUGUUCAAUUGUAGAAGAACAAGUUUCGGAAAUAAAAUUCUAGUGUGUUUUCUAAACUAUGUCUUACUAAACUUUCUCAAAUCUCUUCCUGCUUGGAAAUGGUAUAUCUGUGAAAGAAAAUCUCCCGUGUGUUUAAUAGUAUGCUCUAUGCUUGCCAUAACUAUGGAUCCUGCACAUCAGAAAUUAAACUUAGACUAAAUAUAUCAUUAAAGUCCAAAUGAGUUUGAAGAAGUAGUCUAAAUUAAUGGAGAUUAACAGCUAAUAGGCAGUGCCUGUUUAAAGGGCCAAAGAGGAAAGACCGAUGUUUUGGCAUAGCAUGCCUACUGUUAUGAUCUAUUAAUUUCAAAUACCCCAGCUUAUUACUCACCUGUGUCGCCUGCUAAAAGGCAGUGCCUGUUUAAAAGGCCAAAGAGGAGAGGCCGAUGUUUUGGCAUAGCAUACUUGCUGUUAUGAUCUAUUAAUUUCAAAUAUUCCGGCUUCUUACUCACCUGUGUCGCCUUGGUAUCAGAGCCAGCAACUCCUAGAUUUUUUUUUCAUACGAGAAACCAGAUUCAGAAAGGAAGGGAAACCUUAUAAAUGAAUUCCCCUAGAAUGUCUAGAUCUAAAGCACCCAUAUCCUUACCUAGCUUUCCUUUAAAAUCCCAUUCUGCUAGAAAAAUUUCUUCUUUGUAUGAAGUUGAAUAUUUCACAGAAGAAGAAAAAGUCCAAGCUACAGACUUACCUCUUGUAAAUCAUUAUUCUACUUAUCAAAAACCUUCUUUUUUCUCCUAUUAAAAGUAUCAAGUCUCUUAUUACUACUAGUAGGAAAAAUGUACGUGAAUAUGUGCAGUCAUCAAAGUUUGAUAAGCAUCUUAUUUAUGGAGGUUAGGAGGAACAAUUUGUUACUUUUGAAAUCCCUUCAAACUUUCCCCAAGAAUGGAUCCAUCAUGGAUACUCUCACAUCCAUUUUGGAGCAGUAAGAUUGGCGCUGAAUUACCAUGGAACAUCUGGGAAACCAGUUGUGUCAAGAAUCAUCCUGUUAGACUCAAGAUACAAGCGGUACCAAGAUGCCUGUAUUGGUACAGUUGAAGCAACACUUAGCCCAGGAAUGGCUAUGGUAACUCUGUUUCCAAACUUUACCAUGUCAUUGCAAGAUCCUAAUCUGAUGGAUGCCCUCAAAAUUCAGAUUCAGAUCAUUGAGGCAGAAAUGAUUGAAUCUGCUGUUACAGCAACCCUUCACUAUCAAAUAGUGUAUCGGGUACAAGACCAUGCAUUCAAAUUAUCAAACCAAGGAUCUAAAGACUCUCUCAUUAUUUCAGUUAACACUAAGGAAGAGCCUCACUGUGUACAUGUUCCAAAGCAAAUACCAAAGCAAGAACUUUUAAAGCUUUUUCCUGAAAAGUGUGUGACAAAUUAUGAGCAAAUCCACCAGCAUGACCAGCCAAUUCGCUCUACAAAAAGCCAGAUUGUUACUAAAGCUGAUGGCACCAGUGAAAUCAAGUUUGAUCACAGUCACUUAAAGCAAUUACCAACUCCUCCAAUUUUCUCUACACAGAUGAUGUUACAAGCACUUGAUGGUCCAGACCCCAGCCUGAAGCUCCUCUCAUACAAAGCUUUCAACCUAAUGGAAAGCCUUUGUAUUCUUUUAAAGAUCCUAAAGGACACCGUCCUUAAGAUAUUAAUUGUUCAUGCGAAGGAUGCCAAGACGCAGUUUUUGAAGAUCUUGAUGAAGAUAUUAGGCGAUCCCGCAAAAAGAACAAAAACAAAAAGUCAACUCAGAAGAGUUUCUAUGUUCAUAAUGAUAAAUGUAUAUAGUUAAAAUAGAGGUAUCAUGAGGAGUCUAAUCAAAAUUUUAAGCCUAAUUAACAAACUUGAGUUUGGUUCGGUACGAAUAAUUAACUUAAAUUUUGGUUCAAGAAAAACCAAUAAUGUCGAAAUUUUUAACUCCUAAAUAACAAAAACCACAAUAUGGCUUCAUAGAAUUGUUGAACAUGCAACAAAGGAAUUAUAAUCCCAAACAAAAAUGAAACAAUUUUUCUAGAAUUUCAUAGGGAAAGAUGCAAAAAUCCAAGAGAUACCCACAAAAGGUAAUCAAUCCCGAAAAUCAUAAUUGUUUUAGAGCAUGAUAAAAUUCAAAUCAGAACAACCCAUAAACAAAAUAGAUCUGAAGAUAAGAUAAUACAUCUGAAAUCCCACUUAGAAAUCGCAACUAUAGUGGAGAGAAAAUAAGUAUCAUUAGGCACUAAAGGAGAAGCUUAGAGACGAAAUCCAUGGCUGGUGUAUAUAUAUAUAUAUAUAUGGGCAAAAACCAGGGUGAAUAGUUUCUAUCUCUGUGUGUAUAUAUAUCUCAAGCAUAAACAUUAAACAAUUGCAACUAACACAAGAUUUCAUCUUUUUAGUUCAAUUUUUAGGAGGGAAAAGAGAACCCUUUUUUUUUUAUUCCUCCUCCUAUAAAUCAAAGGCAGAGCUUUAAAAAAAAUAGAGUUGAAAGAAAAAAAAGUUCAAAAAUGGUGGAAAUGUUUGCGACUGAGAAUGGACUUAAAAGGAGACCCAAGGCUUCAAGCUAUAUCAAUCGCCAUAAGGGUUGUUACCUUCGGUUUCUCAGUCAAAAAGCAAUAGUGGUGAUUGGUGAACGAUGAUGGACAAGUGGGUGUGUGGUGGAUCGGUGGUGGCCAGAGUGGUAACGAUGAUGGUGGUGGCCGGUGGGUGUUGGAGUGGAGAAGGGAUUUAAAGGCGUUAAUGUUAGGGACUAUUGGGAGGGCCGGUUGAGGAAAUCAGGAAAAGAAAAAAGGGCAACCUGUUAAGCCAUGCUAUUCUCCCUAGGGGUGAGCAAAACUCGAUUCGACUCGAAAAAAUUGAAAAAAAAUUCGAAUUUCGAGUUAAACGAAUAAAGUUAUUCGAGUUAAUCGAGUUAUUCGAAUCAACUCGAAUUUUUUUCGAAUUUCGAGUUCGAAUCGAGUUGAGUUUUCGAAUUCGAAUAACUCGAAUAAUUCGAAUAUCAAACUAUAAUAUUUUACAUUUUUACCCCAAACUCCCAAACCUUUUUACUUUUCCCUCAAAACUUUUACUCCUUCCCACUUUCCCCCCAAAACUUUUAUUCUCUUCCCCUCCCAGCCCCCCAAUCUACCCAAAAUCCAUUUCCCACCAAAAUUUUACUCACCCAUUUAUUUUUUCUCAAAAUUUUACUCCCAAAAACCCUCAAAACAUUUUAUUUUCCNNNNNNNNNNNNNNNNNNNNNNNNNNNNNNNNNNNNNNNNNNNNNNNNNNNNNNNNNNNNNNNNNNNNNNNNNNNNNNNNNNNNNNNNNNNNNNNNNNNNUUUACUUCCUCCCACUUUUCCCUUAAAACUUUUAUUCCCUUCCCAUCCCACCUCUCAUCUAUCCCAAACCCUUCCCCCUCCAAUUUUUUUUUAAUAUUUUCCCUCCAUCUAUUUACUUUCCCUCAAACUUUUAUUCUCCAAAACUUUUUAUUUUUCCCCUAAACUUUUACUUCUCACCCUUUACUCUCAAAUAAAAAAUCAAAAUUAUCCAAAAAAAAUCACUAAACAUAAAUAGUAAUAAUUUUAUUUAUUUCUACUAUUUAUAUUAUUAAAUUAAAUUUCACAUUUUAUAUUAUUUAUAUUAUUAAAUUAUUUAGUCAUAUUGAAUAUUUAUAUUAAAAUUGAAUUAUUAAUUAUGCCAUAAAAUAUUCGUGUUAAAAUUUUAUAUUGGUAUCAAUUUCACAUUUUAUUUUUAAAAUAACUUUUAUUAAAAAUCAUAUUUUUGCAUUUAAUAUAUUUUUUAAUUCUAAAAUACAUAGUGGCAAGAAUCUGAAGAUAAUUGAAACAACUAAGCAAGCAAAAAAGCUAAACAAUAUAUAAAAAAUUAAUAAAUAAAUUAUGAAGUGAUUAAAGUUAAUAAAAAUUUUGAUUAAGGUGGACAAAUUUUAUUACGAUGGGUGACAAUGGUUACAAGGACCCAAAAUUAUUUUUUAAAAUUUAACUCGAACAAAUAUAUUCGAUUCGAUUCGAUUCGAUUCGAAUUCCAUCUCACUCGACUCGAUUCGAGAAAACUUCAAAUAAAGUUAGGAUGAUAAAAUGAGAUUCGAAAACUCGAUUAACUCGAAAAUUUUUGAUUCGAUUCGAUUCGAUUCGAUCGAAUGCUCACCCCUAAUUCUCCCUAUUUUUUUGAGGUCAUAUUUUUACCUAAAUUCUAAGUUUCAAAUGGAUUUUUGGGUUCUUUUCAUGGACUUUUAGGUUGGAUCGAGUGAUUUAAACCAAAUUGAAAAGAAAAGAAAAACUAAAUAAGACAUUAGUGACAGUUCUAGGGAUAAUUUCAUUUCAACCACGUAAUCCUGAAGUAUGUCUUUUUUUUAGAGGAUCAACAAUCAUUAGUUUUGUAUAUGUGUUUCAAUGAGCAGUUCCAAGGAUAAGUACUUGAUGUUUUUACUUUCACUUUUGUUGUUCUUGGUAAAGAACACAAUUGCAAUGUAAUGCCUCAAAAUUUUUGACAUUUAUGAUUUUCACAAUUUUAGGAUAUAAUUAAUUAAACUCCCGAGAACAUGCAUUUCAUUAUUCAUAUUAUAUUGCCAGAUUAAAUUAGACACUGAUAAAUAUCGUUAAUCGAAUUUAAACAUGAAAUAUUGAAUCGGGAUAUAGAUUAACUUGUAAAAAGUUUAAAGCAUAAGGUAUGAAUGUGAGAUAUAGAGAAUUGUCAUUAAAAUGGAAUGAGGAGGACUAAUAUUAAGAUUUUUCCAAGGACUAAAGUUAUAAUAAGACCAUGGGUAAGCCAUUAGUGGAGGAACUCCAUCUAGACCGUUAAUCUCCACUAAAUUUAAGCUUGAAUGAAUCUUGUACUUGGUUUAUGUUAGUGGAAUCUGAUGAGAAACCACGAAGGAAAUAUUUAGAGGAAAUAGAGGAAAAGAGGGAGAACCUAGCCAAACUAAGUCCAUCUCUUCAUUCUUAUGAAUUUCAGUGUUAUUUUGAUUAAAAGGAUGAUGCUAAGUUUAAGUAGCCUUAUUAACCAUGUCAAGAGAGGUUAAUUUGAAGACUUGAUUGUCGUCAAGGCUGGGUUUUGGAUGGAGAAAGGUAAGAAGUUGUGCCAUUUAUACAUUCAUAAACUUUGAAUUGAAAUUUUGGAAUUUGUCAUUGUAUUAUCUUAUAGUAAUUAAGGUCUUAAUGUUGUAUAUGUGUAUAUUUUUAAGCUAAGGAAACUCUUGGAGAAGGAGCUAGUAAAGGAAAGACUAAAGUGGUAGAUUGAUAGCUUGAAAGAUGGGAAUUGGUAUUUUGGAAGCUUAAUCAAGGUUAGUGCUCCAUGAUUUCUAGUGUGUUUAUUAUUGAUUAUUAAUGUGGCUAAAAUGUGAGGUAAUAGUUAAACCCUGAACUAACUCAAUUAGCUAAAUAGACCUUUUGAUUAACAUUGACUGCUAGCAUUAAUGACAACAUUAACGUGGCCGUUAACAUAUGUCAUGUAAACAUCAAUUUGUUGAUGUGACCGUUAACAAAUGACAUGUUAGUAUCGAUUGUUGACUUAACAUUAUCACAUCUACAAAAAAUAAAAAGUUUUUUAAAAUAAGUACACAAUAAAUUUAGACAAAUUAUUGUUUAGAAGGUUCAUUUGGUUAAGACACCCAUUUGUCUAGAUUCAUUCUAUAAUUAUAAGAGAAACAUAAUUUUUUUUAUAAAAUUUGAAAAAAAUUAUUAAAAUUAUAAAAUAAAUUAGAUAUUGAUUAAAAAUUAUAAUUUUUUUAUAAAAAUUUAUAGAAAUAAUUUAUUAAAAACCAUAAAAAUUUUAAAAAAAUAAUUUCCUCAUUUUGAUCAAAUUAUUUGACUAAUAUAAACUUGUUCAAAUUGAAAAAUAUAACAAAAAAAUUUGUUAAUCUUGAUUUUAUGAUAUAAGUUGUUGAUGCUCGUUUUCAUAUUUAAAAUAAAAAAUAAUAAACUAUUUUUAUAAAUUUUAUAAAAUAUUAUUUUAAAAUUAAUUUAUAAUAAAUUUUAUGUUUUUUAUAAUUUCAGAAUGUAUUUGGACAAACUUAUGUCCAAAUUCAAAUGAAUUUGUACAAAAACUUGUCCAAAUUCUUUGUGUACUUAUUUUAAAAUAUUUAUUUUUGAAUUUUUUAUUUUUGCUGAUGCCAUUAGGUCCAUCUUAGUCAAAGGGACAAUUUUUUUAAUUCAAAAGUUCAAUUGGGUGAAAAAAAAAUUAAAGGGAUUUAAUUUUUUUUUUAUUUUUGAAAAAGUUUGAUUACUUACAUUAACCCUAACUUUAGUAUGGAAUGAAUUAACUUGAGUAUGGAAUAAAUUGAUUGGUAAGAUGUGAUAUCUACAUGAAGAAGAGAGUGUUGUUUAAAGAGCUUAAUAGUUGUUCAAAAGAGCUAAAAAAUUAUUAUGUUCAAAAUUAUGUGAUUGAUGAAUAAGGAUGUGAAAAGAAUUAUUAAAUGAUGAACUAAAGACCUUCUGAACUAUCUUGAAUAUAGAAUCUAUAUAUAUGUAAAGUGAAUUUAUAUAAUGGUGUUAUUGUUGUUUGAUUGAAGAGAUAGUAAACAAGCAUGGCUUUAUAGUGAUCAUAAACAUGUUAAAUGGUAAGUUAAAGGUAUGAUUAACUUUAUUUUAGCGAUGCUAAUAGCUUAUUAUGUGAUCAUAAUUUUGUAUGAAUAAAGAAAGAAACGAAUCAUCAUUACAAUUGUUUAUAGCCAUUGUAAAUCAGGUGUAAAACUAGUCAGGUAUAAAUGACAUGUCAUAAAAUAUAGAUAAUAGUACUGCAUAAUUAUGAGAUAUAUAUUGUAUAGGUUACAUUUCACAUCUGAAAAUAUCGUUUAUGUUUCACGUAUUGUAUUUUGAAUGAUUAUCGUUAGCACUUUGCAACCCUGAAGCACCAUUAGCCCUUUACACGCUAGGGAGUUUGGUUGGAACUAUCAUUGGUGUAACCGGUUAAAUUUUUAUUGGUGUUUAUUCUCAUAGGUAUUGAAAGAGUGAUUUGUUUUCACUCACCGAACACAAGAGUUAGUUUGAAAAUGGAAUAAGCAUUUCCAAAUUAAUAAGAUGUUACUUUUAAAUAUUUUAUUAAAAGAAGUGUCAUCUUUCUGGGUAUUUUCCCACAAGAAUCCGAUCGAUUUCCCUUUUGUUUAAAUUUCAAACACAAUUUCAAAGUAUAUUGAUGAAGGUUAAAGAAAUAAUUAACUUUUCUGCACCUGUAAAAAUGGCAUGGAAGCAAUCUAUUAUAUAUAAUAAUUUUGGACCCUUUCUUUUUGGGGGCCAGAAUUUUUGUACCCCUUAGAUUAUAUAUGUGUAAUAUAUAUAUAUAUAUAUAUAUAUAUAUAUAUAUAUAUGCAUUUGCAUGUGCAUAUAUUUGUUACAAAAGAUGUUUUAGUCCGGAAAUAAAAAAAUAUAUAUUUCAAAGAUAAACUUCUUGAUAUUGUAUGUAUGAAUCAAUUUAACUAAAUCUAGAUUCAACUAACAUCUAUUUUAGACUUAUAUUCAUCGUUUGCCAUCUAAUCAUGUCACUCGAAAGUGAGUAAAUUAUAAUAUUUCGUAAUUAUAUAUGAUGAAAAUCAAGCAUAUGGAAUUAUCGAGAAUUAAAUGGAGUUACGAGUAGAAGUAAGGUUUGUAUAUACAUCUAUAUACAUAUAAAGCUUUGUUAAAUUUAAUGUAUGUUAUUCAGCUUAGUGAAAUCAUAAUAACUUUGCAUAAAGAAGUUUCAUGUUUUUAAUCUUAGAGGUUAGAAUAAAACUUUGCAUAAAGAAAAGAACAGAGAAAAGUAAAAGAUAUCGGCAUGAUAUUCCCGGCCCCAUUGGGUCAUAGUACAGGAAAAAGUAUUUUUUUUGUGUCUUCUCUAUUUUAUUGUUCAUGUUCAGAUUUGUGACUAUGCUUCUUAACAAUGUCGUUUUCAAAAUUUAAAUCCGGAUGAAAUACUUGUGGUUUAAAGUACCAUUGUUGAAACUAAGAAAAGGGCACUAAAAUCUCUCAUUCAAGCCCAAAACUUAAACUCAAAUUAUUAGAAUUUUAAUAUUUAUAACUAGUUUUCUUAUUCAUAGAAAUCGACCUCGUUUGAAAUAAAAACAGUUACCAGAAAUCCAUGGCACUAGUGAAAGUGCAAGUGUCAGAAGACUGAUAAAGUGAGGAAGAGGUGACAAUCACUGCAGGUUGCAGAAGCUGAAAGUUGAGUGCAUCUUUGGGAACUGGCAAAGACUUGCUGUUGUUUGAAGCCCCCACUGAUUUUAAAAUGUACCAACCAAAAGUGAAAACAAAGGAUGAAUGAUUUUAAAAUCUGUCAAUGCUGGAGAUUAGCUCUACUGUUUUUUUCUUUCUUUUUUCAAUCUAUUUCUGCAAUUUUCUCUUCUUUCCUUUGAUGUUCUAUUGCUUCUGCCUAGAUUUUGGCAUGUUGGUAGCAAAUUUUCCCAACUUUAAUUAUAUGUCCUUGUACCAUAGUGUGAAGUGCAGUUUGGUCCUAGAUUUUGUGACAAAUGGGAAAAAAACUGUUAAUUUUACUAGGUGGAGUAGCAUUUUUAAGUGAGGGAUAUGGCAUAUUCAGUCAACUAAUUAUAAGAUAACCCGGACCCUUGUAGUUAACCUAUACGUAUGAAAUAAAGUCGAGUUAAAUGCAAUGAUUUUAAGGCACAUGAGGUGGAAAGAAGACAGAUACACAAAAUUAGCAAAAAUGUAGAUGGACCAAAAAUGAAUUCCGUACUAUAGACCUUCUUUUACCCAAAUUUUCAUGCUUUUUUUGAAGGCAGUGUUGAUCCAAAACCAAACAGAACAGAAAACUGAAACUGAAACUGAAAACAGAAGAGGACCAAGACAAGGUAGGGCAGGGGAUGGAAAGCUGAAAGUUGAAAUGUUGAAUUACAAGGGACAUUUUAUGGUUAGCACAAGUUAUUCUGAGGGAAUCAAAUAAAGAAAAGAUGAUGUAUUGCAAUCUUCCAAUGUCAUUGAUUUUAUCUUUAUCUAACAUAUUAAAGUUGGUUUGGUUUUUUUUUCCCCCUCACCUGUCACCAAGCAAAACCCUUUGCUUUAUUUCACUGUGUUCCAUAGAUUCUCUUGAAACAUCCCUGGUAAUGUCAGGAGGAAAAAAAAAUACAAAAUCUUAUCUUGUAAUAGCUUUACAAUUCAUUGACAGAUCUUGGUUUAACGAACUUGUGACCGUUUUUUAUAUGGGUUUAGCUGUUCAUCAUGUUUUGUGAGGAGCUUUUACAAAUCUGUUGUUUUUUGAGAUACAAAUCUUGAUUAUUUGCCUAAGAUUAUGUUUGAAGUGACAGCUUAGUUGAAAUGUUCCAAAGGAUGCCUUUCUCAUGGCAAUGGGCAUCUCAUUUUGUUAUUUGUGGAUUAGAUUCCUCACGACAUUACAGGGAUUUAAACUGAUGAAUUGUUAAAAUCCCAGCACCUUCAAAGGAAAUUAAAGAAAACAUGAUCUUUGUCUGUCAGAAGAAAUGACUUGUUUCAAUGUUUAACUUUGAUAGAACCACACCAUAAUAUAGUUUCUCUUCACAUCCAAUUAAUUGAACUAAUCAACUGUUAAUCUCACUUUUGUACUUAAAUCUAAAUCGUUUCUUCUCAAAGAUAGUGUAAAUUGAUUGGUUCAACUUUAUUUACUUACAAUAUAUGCAGUAGUAAAAAAGUUCCUAUUUAAACAAUAAAUGUGCUCUUCAAUCCGUCCAAAUAACCUAAGUUGUCAAUGUAUAAGGGUAAAAAGACUUGUUGAAAUAUAAUCAACACAUUCACUUAUUUCACUAAAAUAGUCACCUAAAAAGAUUUUCUAAUAAUUAACAUGUUGGCAAAUAUAUUCUCGAUCUCAAAAUCCUUUGAAAAUAUAAGAGAACUUUGAUAAUAUUAAAAAUAUCUUAUUUCUUGCACACAUAAAGUCUCCACAAAUGAGUUGCUACCCAACGGAACCAAAACAAUUUAAUUAAAAUAUGUCAAUCAAGUAAGUCAAGUUAUACCAAUUUUUUCUUUAAGCUGCAACCGACAGUUAUAAAUAGCACUAACAAAAACUUUAAUAAUAUAAUCAACUCAACAUUUCUCCUUACCCUUAAUCCAUUAAUGCAAAGUAACAAAAGCAUUAACAAUGAGGAAUCAUCAAAUAAUAUAUUGGCGACAUUUCACCACCAAAUACAUAUCGAAAUCUUAUUAGUAUCGUCGUCAAAAAAUUUCUCCAAAAAAAAAAACUUCAUCCACAUCAAACAAGAACUUCUUCAAGGAAAAAAAUUUCACCUAGCUAGCAACCAAUACUCUCAGUAUCUUCAUUUGGAAUUAUCUCCUCAAAAUAAAUCUACUACCUGUUUUCCUGCCACUUGAAAGAAUACUUCAAUUUAGGUAGCAUAGGCUUCUUCUAGGUCAACUCUCUCUGACCUUUGCUUCAUAAGAAUCUAGAAUGUGAGGGAGGAGAAAGGCGAUGCCAGCCUUGUAUUCUUGGUCUCUACGUGCUUAAUAAUUUCAUUCAAUAUCAUCUCGCCAAGCUCAGCAUGAGCAGGAGAAACAACCUUUUGAAGGAACACAACCAGCUUCUUAGUAACGAAUUCCUUGUUGCUAUGGCUUGGAAUGUUGCAUAUAUAAGCUCAAGCUCAAAAGCUUUAGUUUUCACAUUGUUGGUCAACUAGGUUACAAGAUCAUCAUAGUCUACCUCUGAUUGAUCAUCAUCCAUUGUUGGUCAAAGAAGGAUUUUCCUUGCAUCUUUCAUCCCUCCUCAAAGGAAAUUUCUAUUUAUUUUAUCAAACUUUGUCAAAAUAUUUAUAAGAAGCAAUCGACAUUGCAUAAAAUAGGAAGGAAUGACCGUUUUGGUAGAUUAGAACACUGUAAGUCUAUUAGCUUGAAUGAGGCAAUUUCUUUUCCAAGCAAUAAGCUUGUUUUUAUUAUACUUGAACAGAUAUAGAAACUCAUUCUUCAUUUUUGCAUGCACAUACGGCAUUAGGUGCAUCCUUUUCAUACUGUAGAAAGUAGUUUUCCAAAGGUGAUUGUAGAAACCAACUUUUAUUUUAAAAAAACAAAUAUUAGUUGUCGAUGAAAAUUGAAGUCGCCACCAAUCUUUUAUUGAGGUGUGAUUGGAUCACCUAAAAAAUAGCUUUGGUCUACGAGUUUUAGAAAAAUGGAUCCGGGAGUCGGUUACGUACGAGGAAGGAUUAGCACCCUUGUAACGCCCAAAUUUGUACCUAGUUAAUUAAUUAGUGUCUUAAUGUCGAAAAUUUAAAAAUAUGAUCCUUAAUAAAAACUUAAAAAGCGUUAUUUAUUAAAACUCAUAUCAUUUCGAAGAAAGAAAAUGUCACACCCAAUGCGUUAGGGCAUGACAUUCUAAUUCCUCAAAAAUGAAUUAGUCCAAAAUACUCGUGUAAUAAAAUUUAAAAGAAGAUUCAUUUGUUUAAGAUUUAUAAAGAAAUCGCGGCCCAAUACGUUAGGGCACAAUUUCUCAAAAUCCUAAACUUGAAAUAUUUCCUUUGUUAUUAUUAUUUUUUUUAAAUCUUUGUCUCGAGAAAUCAAUACGUCACAUCCAAUACGUUAGGAUACAACAUAUUAAAUUCCCGACAACAAGCUUUUCAUUUUAUUUUUUGAUUAAUGAGCAAUUCUCGAUUGUUAGAUUUAACGAAGAAAAUUGGAACCCAAUACGUUAGAGCUCAAUUUCCUUGAAAAUCCUAAAUACGAGUGUUAUCUCAAUUUUGAAAAUUUUAAAAUCGAGUAAAAAUUAUGUAAUGCUACAUUAAGUGUAAAAUACAAUAAUAAAUAUACAACAAUGGCAUAGAAAUAAACGAAAUUAAUGUACAUAAAAAAAACAACAUGUAAAGUAUCAAAUGAACAAAAUAUAAAUGAAAACAUAAAUCAAUAAGGAAAUGAAGGAAAUAAACAAAAAAUAUAAAGAGAAAAAAAGGUACAAAAUAUAUACAUGAAAUUAUAAAGAAUAAAAGACAUAUACAUGGGUUUACAUAUAAAAUUUUGGACUAUAGAAUUUAUAACAAUAUAUAUAUAUAAUGCAUUUAUGAAAAUAAAGAAAAAUAUAUAAAUAUACAUAUAUAUUAUAACAUAUGUGUUGAAAAUAUAAGUUUGUAUUUAAGCAAAUAAAAAACAUAGGCAUGUGCAUAUAUAUAUAUAUAUAUAUAUAUAUAUAUAUAUAAAUAUUCAUUAGAAAAAUAUAUAAAUACAUACAUGUACAUAUAUACAAAAGUAAAAAAAAUUGAAACUAAAUAUAAAAGUAUAUAUAUGUACAUAAAAGUUAGGAAGUAAAAUAAAAAUAAAAACAUAUGUAUAAAAUAUAUAUAAGCAUACGUAUAUUAUAUAUAAAACAAUAUAUAUUACAUAAAAACGAUACAUGCGCAUGAAUAUAAAAAUAAUAAUAAUAAUAAUAAUACAAGAUUAAUGAUGCCACAUAAUAGUAUUAAUAAUAUUAAAAUAAUUAAUUUAAUAAAAAAAACUAAAAUAACAAAUAGAGGAUUAAAUAGCAUUAAUAAUCAAAGACCAAUGAAUUUAAAACAAAGAGUAUAAAAUAAAAAAAAUAUAAGGCCAAAUAAAAUGUAAACAAAUUUGAAAAUAAUGAAUUUGAAAAUGAAUAAUAAAGGAAAAAGAGAUUUGAAAUCAACAAUAUACAAAUCAAUAAAUAAAUUAUACACAAAUCAACAAAAUAAGAACGCAAGAAAGAGAGAAAUUUGAGUAAAUACUCUUAAGAAUUAUUAUUACUCCCCACUUCCAGCCUUUACAAUGAAGGGAGAGGCAUCUAUUUAUAGUUGAGCCUCCCAAAAUCUAACGGUACAGAUUAAUUACAUCAAUAGCUAAAAGGUAUCUACAAAUUAAAUCUCUAAGAUUACAAAAUCAUAUCUUCUAAGAUUGCAUAUCAUAUCUAAGAUUGCAUAUCCUUGAAGAUUAUGUUUCCAUAUGCAUCAAGCUUGUAGAUAGACCUUCAACCUUUUCAAAUAAUGGGCCAUCCCGAUCGGGCCAAAUGAUAUAAUUUUGGACUUUGUUUUAUUAUUUUGGGUUUAUUAUUUUUUUAUGAGCCCGGGCUAAAUUGGCCUAUUACAGUGAUCAUUGCUUGAAAUGUCUUUUUUUCUUUAAUUAUUAUAUGUACAUUAAUCUAUGUGUAGAUACUAACUUUUGAGGUUCUUUGUAAAUAUUAAUGGUUUACUUCAGCUAAUAAUUUUCAUUUAUAAGGCAUUUAUGGAUCAUAGUAAAAAAGAUUGAGGAAAAUAACUUUUCCUAUAAUUUUUUAUUAAUUAAUAAAUAUUACUUUACCAAAAUAAAUAAAUAAAAAUUCAUUCUAUUUAUUCAUUCAUUUAUAUAUAAUCAAUAAUGCCAUUAAAAAGUAUAUUUUUAGUCCUAAUAUAUUAUUUUAUUAAGAUUUUAUUUAAUUCCGAGACGAAAACUCAAAUUUAACAAAUCUUAAAUAUUAUUUUGACAUGGAAUUCAAGUCAUGCACGCUUACAAUUAAUAUAUUACAAUUCAUCACGUUUGAUAAUCUUAUUAUUCAGAUAAAUUAACUUUAAUUUAAUUUAAUUUAAUUCUGAACCAACACUAAAAUAUCUAUAUCACAUUCUAAAAAAAUCUUUGAACUUUUUUUUUUAUGGUAGAAUUCAAGCCCCAUCACAUCUAUUUUCAGAAUCAUUAUAUUUAACCUUCAUUUACUAUAAUGGGUCAAUCAAGUUGUUUUUACCAUAAUAAGGAUAGGUUUGGAUGGGCAGUACAUUUACAUGCGAUUAGUAUAAAUUAAUAGUGGUGACGGUGAGAUUAAAUAUUGUAAUAAUACUAUAACGUGAGACAAAAAGUAAGCUAAACGUACAGUAUUGCACCCAAUUAGCCAUCUAAACCCACCCUCUAAGUCUACCAAAACUCUCACUAUUGCUCUUCUUUUCCUUUUCAAGAUUUUGGAGGACAGUGACAAGUUUGGAUUUUAUUAAGUUUAGAUUUUAUUUCUCAAUUAUUAGCAAAGCCAAAACCCCCAUCAUCUUCAACUGUAUAUAGUCAAUCUAGUUUUUCCCCAAAAGUCUACAACAACUCUCCAAUAUAUUAUACGUAAUUCACUUCCUAUAUCUACAAUAAUAAGAGCAAGACUGUCUAAUAUAGUUAAAUAAGUGCUCGCAAGUUGGUGAACAUGACUAAUCUCAAAUUGUAAAGUGGAUAAGGUGCAUGUAAGUAUGAUACUUUCAAGGUUUGAGUGCAAACAAAUAACCCAAUAUGUAGAUUAUGUUAUUCCUUGGACUGGUAAUUUUGGCUGAUAAUAAGCCUUAAACAUAGCCGAUGUUGAGUUUCUUGUACACUGUUUUUAAAGAUUUUUAGAUGCUAAAACCUACGAUAGAUGAUAGACCUCGUCCCAAGUUACUUUACUAGUCUUGGGUUAAUGCCUGAAUGGCCCCAGUUACACUUUUUAAACAGUGAAAAAAAGUGACAAUUUCAAACUAUGUAAGCGGGUCUUGAGGGGGAAAAGCCUUGAAAUUUGCUUGCUACCAAAAUCCAAAAAUUUACCGGCCAUGGCCUAAGAUUCUAAGCCAUAUGUGCUUAUGAAGCAAAUUGAUAAAGAAAUUACUGAGCUGAUUGAUGUUAAGCAGCAAAUAAACACAACAUAAUUUUAUAGUACCGUAAUACAGGCUAAGGGUAUUCAAGAAAGAGUAAUAUAGGAUCACUUAUCAAUCACAUAUGGUUGCUGGAACCAAACAAUGUCUUAUCAAAUUCUAAAAUCCAUAGAAAAAAGGAAAAAGUAGGCAAAGAGUAUUCCUAAAUCUGCAAAGUCGAUGGCAAUGUUUUAAAUAACUCAAAAGUUGAGUGGUAAAUUCCUAAUCAACACCCUUUAUAAACUCCAUUUGAGAACAUGGUUCUGGAUUCCCCUUAUACAAUAAAAAUGGUGGUUGGUCCUUCUUACCUAAAAACCUUGCACCCCCUUCAAGCCUUUUCAUUGAAAUCACCAUCUUCAACCUUAGGCUUCAUGAAAAUCAAAGCUCUAAUUCACACCCUUGUCUAUGCUCAGUUUUAUCGUCUAAUUCGAGCAUUUUCCAAAGCAAAAUCUACUUUCAUUCUAAUUUGUAAACAAAGCAAGCCUAUUCAAUAUUUGAUUUCCAACUCAAAGACCACAAGAAAGAAGUACAAGCACAAGAAACUCUUCUUUGGUUCAUUCAGGCUACACUAUAAUUGGUGCUCUUCUCAUGUAACACCAGUUCCAGCUCCAGUUCUAGAAGCAACUCAUUCGACCUGGAAUUCAGCGGUUUCAACUGAUCAGCAAUGUGAUGAGGACACUGUGGAGUCUGAGCUUUCAGGUUACCUUCAAUGGCUAGAAGAAAAGAAGGGUAAUGGUAAUUCUACUGUUGAGACAGAUAUCAAUGAGAUUGAUAAGCUAGCAGAAAUGUUUAUAGCUAAUUGCCAUGAAAAGUUCAGGUUGGAAAAGCAAGAGUCUUAUAGGAGAUUCCAGGAAAUGUUGGCUAGAAGCAUGUGAAGGGUUUUCUUAAUUAUUUGCUAAUAAUCCUUUUUUUUUUUGUUAAUUUUAUAUCCUAGUAAAACUUUUCACCUCUUAUAUAUUUUGUGUUUGGAGAAUUGUAUACAUGAUAAGAGUGUGGGGUGCUUACUCCUAUUCUUCCCUUAAAUUUGUGGUGACAGGCCCUCCUUUGUAGGAAUAGAAGAAAAAAAUCCAGUGCAAAUUUCCAGAAUUGUAUGAUCACUUUCAUUGAGACAGCUGGUAGAUGAAUGCUUAUCCACUUUGAUUAAUAUAUUAGGUUAAUUUGGGAUCAGUAGCUUUAUCAUUUGUUAAAGUUAUACAUAGAGUUGUUACACUUCUACCAAUGUAAUUAAGCCAACUUUUUCAACCAACUUGUGUAAGAAACAUGAACAUCUGAAAUUAAUUAUUAGUUCACUGAUUUUGUCAUGGGAAGUGUACUAGAUUCAAUGUCUAAAUGACAUAUAAUCUCCUUGCUCUAAUUCCUUUAUACCUAUUUUUUUACGAAGUCAAAGCAAUUGGGGAAUCUUCUUAUCUAUUCAAAACAAUGAUAUGAAGCUCCCCAAAGAAAGGCAAACUAAAGGAAAAACAUUUUGUUGAACCUACUACAAAUCCUAAAAAAGGAAUGAUGAUCUUGAUGAAUCUCAUAUAUGAUGAAAGGCACAUGUAUAUGGCCAUGGCAUGAAGCUCUUGUGACAUAAGGUACCCAUUGACAUAAUCAAAGACACAUCCUUGUUAGCUUAACUUUCAUACACAAAUUAAUUCAAUUUGAUUGAAUGAUAAGGAGUUUGAUACUUUUAAAUAAAGUCUUGAUUUUGAAUCUUGUGAAUGGAGAAAAUAGAUAUUAAAAAAAAAUUUUCUUUACCCAACUCGAUAUAACUUUGAAAUAGUCGAUGCCAAUAUGACUACACUAGGAGAUCUUCAACUAGAUGCAAAACUUUAGUAAAGUCAAGGACACCUUACACUCACCACAAAGAUUUAUGAGAAAAAUUAUAGAAAUAUGAACCCCUAGCUGUGAUUUAUUGGUCAACCUUCCCAAAAAUAACAUAAGUUAAAAUCUUGUAAUAUAUAUAUAUAACUAUUAAAAUUGCAUUAUCAUUUAUUUUUCAUUUUACAUUGCGAUGAUUGUUUUUAAACUUGUCAAAUUAAUUGAUUUGUUGUAAAUAUUAAUUUACAAAUUAAUUGAUUAUCUCUUAAGAGCAUGUGGCACAUCCAUGCUAACCAUGACAACUUCUUCGUGAAGAUUCUUUUGAGUCAAAGCAAGAGCCUCGAAAUUUCUUAGUGACGUUUGUUGAUUACCAUGAGCACAAAUGCUCAUUUGACCAGGCCUUAGUUGUUGUUAGCUAGUUGAUACUCACAGGUGUCACUGAUAGGGUUGAUAGGGGUAUGGUUCGGCCUUCUUUAAUUUUUUGAAACUUCUUUUGCAAAAUCUGACAUAGUUGUUGUGAUGGUCACUAAACUAAUUAUAAAUACAACUAAGGCAAGCGCAUCUAUCGAAUAAUAGUAUAGUUAUGGUGAGUAGGGAAUAUUGUAUCCACGAGGACUAAAAGUACUAGUAAUUACCAUUUUUCUAUUAUUUAGCCGACAAAUUGGAGCGGUUGUUUUUAAUCUAAAACUACUAAACUAAUCUAAGUAAGAACGCAACAGAGAAUGAAAUAGAAAAAUAAUCGAAGAUAACCAAUGAGAUAGACAAUACAUAGGAAAGAAUCCACCUAGACUUCACCUAUUAUUAUGAAUUUGAAUUAAACAAUUUAUUCACUUGUGUCUUGAUCGGUAGAAAUCCCUAAAUUAUGUUAAUAUCUUUUUCGAGAGUAAGAACAAUUGACUCUAGGUUGAUUAAUUGAAAUCUCUUUUUAAUUAAAACUCUUAUUGUCGCAUUAACUCGAUCUAUGGAUUCCCCUAUUAGAUUUGACUCUAAUCCGGUAGAUUUAUGUUAUCUUAUUUCUAGGAUUACAUGUAACUCCAUUCAAUUAUCCUAGAUCUACUCUUAAACAGGGACUUUUGCUCCACUGAAAUAAGCACAUUGAACUUGAAUUAAUAUCUUAGAAAUAUUAAUUAAAACAAGAAAUAAGCAUACAUAAUUGAGAACAAGAAUCAAGUAUUUAUCACGUAAACCAAAAAUCAAAUAAUAAGAUUCAUCAUUGGUUUCAUCUUCCCUAGGUAUCUAGAGAACUUAGUUCAUAAUCUUGAAUGAAAACAUCUCAAAGUCAGAAUAACCACAAGACAUAAAGAAACUCAAUAAAACUUCGAAAGAAAUUAAAUGGAGAUCUUCGAUCUUGAGUGAGAUCCGCUUCUGAGUUGAUUCUGAUGGCGUUCUUCGAGUGCUUUCUUCGAUCUUCUCUCAGUGCCCCUCUUAGGUCAUCUUCUAAUUGGUAUUUAUAGACUUUAGAAUGCUCAGAAAGCCUAAAAAUCAGGUUUUUUUCGCGUAUUUGGGAAACAAGGUGCGACACCGACACGGGCUGGCACAUGGGCUUGUGGCCAGCUCGUGCGGCUCACACGGGCAUGUGGCCAGCCCGUUUGGAAAUGCCCAGGCCGUGUGGAUCCUAGAAACAGCUCUAUUUGUCCGAUUUUGGCUCGUUUUUCGCUCUUUUUGCUCUCAAAUGCUCUUCUAAGUAUAAAGACAUGAAUUUAAAGGAUUAGGAGCAUCAAAUUCACUAAUUUAUAUAAUUAAUCAUCCAAAAACGCAUUAAGAAUGGGAUUAAAAAUAUGUUACUUUUAUGGCUUAUCAUGUUGCAACUUAUGCAAGAGCACGCGAGGGCCAAAUAAGUACUUAUACUUGUGUUUGGAAUGAUACCUACUAGUCAUGCAAUCCAUGAGUUUGAGAAUUGUGGAGAAGAUCCAAAUGGUUAAAAGCAAAAAUUAAAGUUAUGUUGAAAAUCUGAAAUAAAUCUAGUAGGAUUCCAUGGUGCCAACUUUGAUUGGACUUUUCAAGUCUUUUUGACAAUCUUUUGGUGUGAUUCUAGUGUCCAAAUCAUAUAGGUUCAAGUUAUCUUCAAAAUGGUUUUGAAUCACCUAAUUUUGAGGUCUAUAGCUAAAGAUGUGAUUGCUUUCAUAAAAUAAUACAUUUCCCUACAGGAAGUUCAAGCUUUAUCACAACAUUUCAUAAAGAUGAAAUGAAUUGUCAUUGUAGAUAUGAAAUGUAAUGGAGUUGAUCAGAUAGUAAUGUUAACAAGUAAUGGUUAAGCUUUUGUAUGUAAGGGAUUGAAUGCGUGCGUAGUUCUCUUAAUAUACUUAAGAUAUCAUUUAGGUUCUAAAUGGUAAGAAAUAAAAUUGUAUGCUAUACUUAUUGAUUGUUUGCUUAUAAUAUGUUUUAGUUGCCUUAAUUGUAUAACAAAAAGUAAGAUAAUAUUGAAGUCAUAUUGAGCACCACUAAGCAUAGGGGUAUGGUCAGUGCGUUGAAUUCGUUUUCCAUGCAUAAGUUGAGGAUCAGACACGAGAAGAAGUAGCAAAGCUCUGCACUAAUCCCAAGUUACAUCACACUAAAGUACAUUUGUGCUUUCAAAUUCUUUUGAUUAUGUACAAAGUUAUGGAUAUUAGUUGGUACGUACUUAGGGAUGUUUUGUAUUUCACUCAGUACUUGUUAUUAGUGGGAGAAGUUAUGUUUAAUUAUGGCAUUUAUGAUUAAGUAUGCAUAUGUGUUUCAUAUGGCAUAAGAUUAUAUGGUAAAUUUUAUGGCAUGUUGAAUGGUAUUUUGGUUAGCAAUUAGCUUUAUAAUAGUUGAGUAUUAUUUUUUAUACGUGAAUUUUGGAUUAUUCUACAUCAAGUACCGUACUUUGUUACCAAUACCCAUUAAAGUUUCUAGAACAACAUUUCGCUAAAAUAAUUAUCCCUUAUAACAAUAUUUCGUUAUAACAAUUAAAUUUUUAGAAGAAUCAAUUUUUAUAUUUUAUUUUAACCCUUAAUAACAACUUGUCACUUAUAACAAUAACAUUCAUACUUAUGAAGUAUAUUCUUUAUUAAAUUAGUUCUCUAUAACAACAUAUUGUCUAAAUUUUUAAGUGCAAUUAUAGUUAUUUAUAUAAGCAAGCCUAUUAAUUAUCAUUUAUUAAAUGAAAAUUAUCUCAAUUAAAGUAUUAUUUCAAUAAAAUGAUUUAAAAGAUAUUUAUUUGAUGAAAAUUCAUUAUAUGAAUUCUAUUGUAUUCUUAAAAGUUAAAACAAUUAUCUCUUCUAUAAUGAAUUCGUUAUAAGUUCAGAUCAUAUCUAUUCUUUUUGACACAAUGCUUAGAACUACACAUAGCCCCUCCUCAACCCAUAAAUAGGAAAAUAAUACACUCCAACGCACUUGACCCCACGUCCUCUUGUAUUGGUAACAAUGCUCAUACCAGUCGAAUUAAGACUUUAUCGACUUAUAUAUAAGAUUUUUAAAACCAAGUGUAGAUACAACAAUUUCACAAAUUGAUUGAUAUAUAUAUAUAUAUAUAUAUAUAUAUAUAUAUAUAUAUAUAUAUAUAUAUAUAAACAAGAUAUAUACACAUUUGCAUAAAACCAAGCAUAAUCUAAGAUUAAUCAUUUCACUAGAAAAGCACUUCAUAUUUAUGUUUAUGUAUAUACAAAUAAGAUUAUCAUGUAUAAGAAUUUAUAAACAACUUAUAAAAUCUUUUGAUGCGAAACUUCAUAGGUUAUAUAGACUAUACCAUUCCCAACAUUAACCAAGGAAAAAAAGCAUGCAAGUGAGAAAGCUAAUGCAAAAUGGCAUAAACUUUGACAUUUACAAAACAUAUAUAAGGGUGUCAUUCGGCGCUAAAAUUGUUUCAGUUUCAUUUGCUAAAACUUGAGAUCAUAUAACUUGACAGGCAGCAUGACUAAAGCUGAAAAUGUACCACACCAAAAAAUGGAAAUCCUACAAAAGAAACAUUCUAGUACACAAGUUGUGGUUCAAAUUCAGCAAAAUCAACAGAUCCAGAUUCGAUCGGCGGCAUCAGAUACGUAGCUAGGAGCUCUGAAGCCAAUGCUGCAAUUAAUGGAAUCCUCUUCAAGUUCUUCACCAAUGGAAUAUCAGAGGUCUCCCCAACAGCAAGCAACUGUUCAUUGAUCUCAACCAUUUUGUC
rnacentral:lncRNA from 1 species